rnacentral:lncRNA from 1 species
AAAUAUUUUGUCUUCUUUUGUUCUUUCUUUCUCGGUAUUUUCCAUAAUUUUAAUCUAUCUCACACACUAAAAGCACUUGUAAGUCUUUAAAAAUGCAAAUGCUUACAAUGCUUAGAAUUUUGAAAGAUGAGAUAUAAAAUGUCGUAAAAAAAAAUGAAUCGGAUAUAAAUUGUAAAAAAUUCUUUAAAAAAUGGCAUUUCAGUCGUGACAGCUAUUCCGAAGGCAUGAUGACGAGUUGGAAGGAAAGAGUUAGAAAGACGGGGAUUUCUGAAAAAAAUAAAAACUUUCAUUUUCUUAAAAUACGAAUUAAAUGUCUUUCAGAAUGUGUGAUAUUAUAAAAUGACGAAAUAUACCCUUAGCAAAAGAAAAAAAAAAAAAAUUCGUAUUAGAUAUAUUGAAAACCACACCCUCUCUCAUUUUUGUAUUAGGAGCAUUCCUCCAUUUUAUGCUAGGUAACUUGCCCUCUUUGAGUGGAGAAGAGCAGGUUCGCCCUUAUUUGUCGCGUUGUUUAUACAUGAAAAUAUAUAAAUGUGGAAGUCUAUGUAUAUAUAUGCGCACAUCCACCAAUCCAUGCUUACAUAGACACACACAUUACAUGUGUGUGUGUGUGUGUGUGUGUUGAACUGGCAGAAUCGUUUCCGCACCGGACAAAAUGACGAAAUGCUUAGCGGCAUAUCAUCAUUGUCUUUUAUGUUCUGAGUUCGUAUUCCACCGAAAUCGACUUUGCCGGUCACCCUUUCAGGGUCGAUAAAAAAUAAAGUACCAUUCAAACACUGGAGUCGAUAUAAGCGACUUUCCUUCUCCCGUCAUAAUCGAUAGCCUUGUAUCAAAAGUAGAAAGGAUUUGUAUAUAUUUGUGUCCUGAGAUGGUCAUAAUGCCAAUAAUAAUCUUGCAAACCGCGUCUAUAAUAGAAGACACUUGCCCAAGGUGCCACGCAGUCGAACUGAACCCUGAACCAUGCGGUUGGCAAGCAAGCUACUUACCACACAGCCACCCCUGUGCAUAUAUAUAUGUGCAUAUACGUACGCACUGAUGCAUGCACAUAUGUGCAAUAAUGUUUGCGUGUGCUUAUGCAUGAAUGCAUGCAUUCACUGUAAAUGACUUUAGUGAAUGUUUAGAAUUAUUUUUAAUAUAUAAUAUAGGAUGUUUUAAAGACUUGUUAUAAAUCAAAAUAUAGUCCCACUGGAUUUCCCACCUUUGUUAAUUUUAUUUUACUAUAUAUUUCUGUGUCACCUUACUUCUUGCAAUCUUAAAGCUCCUUUUAUAUCCAUGAAUAGGCUCUGAAAGAAAAUAAAUGCAACAACAAUUAUUAUUAUUAUUAUUAUUAUUAUUAUUAUUAUUAUUUGAGGCGGUGAGCUGGCAGGCUCGUUAGCACGUCGGGCGAGAUGCUUAGCGGCAUUUCGUCUGUCUUUACGUUCUGUGUUCAAAUUCCACCAAGGUCGACUUUUCCUUUCAUCCUGUCGGGGUCAAUAAAUUAAGUACGAGUUCAGUAUUGGGGUCGAUGUAAUCGACUAUCCACCUCCCCCAAAUUUCAGGCCUUGUGACUAUAGUAGAAAAAAUCGUUAUUAUUAUUAUUACUAUUAUUGAGUGAGAGAGCAGUGCAUGCCAUCAAAGUGACACUAGGUUAAAUUAUUAUUAUUAUUAUUAUUAUCAUCAUUAUUAUUAUUAUUAUUAUUAUUAUUAUUAUUAUUAUUAUUAUUAUUAUUAUUAUUAUUAUUAAGACAGCGAGCUGGCGGAAUCGUUAGCACGCCGGGCGAAAUAUUCAGCGGUAUUUCGUCUGUCGUUACGUUCUGAGUUCAAAUUCCGCCGAGGUUGACUUUGCCUUUCAUCCUUUCGGGGUCGAUUAAAUAAGUACCAGUUACGCACCGGGUUAGAUAUAAUCGACUUAAUCCGUUUGUCUUUCCUUGUUUCUCCUCUCUGUGUUUAGCCCUUUCUGGGUAGUAAAAAAAUAGAUAUCAACAAAAUUCCUAACCGAAAAUCCAGAUCUUGUGCCUACAUUUGAAAGUAUUACCAUUCCUAGCUGGUCCCUUGCCGUAAAAAAAAUUACUGCUAAUUGUUGUAUUUUAUAUAUAAAUAAAGUACAAAACCAAGAUUUUAGUUUAAUAAUUCUUUUAUUACAAAUUUAUGUUAUACCUUUCAACUGCAGUCAUUUUAUAUUCUUGAUUCACUCAGGCAAUAAUUACUUUCUCUAAUGAGUUUUUAUAUGUUUGUGUAGAUGUGUGUGGUUGUAAUAAUUAUUUUUAACAGAACAGAUAGAAUAUGGAUGGUAAUUCAAAUUAAUUACACUUCUCAAUGUUAUCUAGUGGUUGUAUUUUGAGAUGUGACAUCGAUCAUCGUUAAUUACUGAAAGAAUGCCGGUUAGUUUAUUUAUAGUUACUGCAAGAACAUUGGGUAAAAAUUUCUUGAUAUAUAUAAAGGACAGGCAUAAACUGUUGAAUUAAAAUGUGUGUUUAUAAUAUACCUUUCAACUGCAGUCGUUUUUGCAUUCUUGACCCACUCAGGCAAUAACUAUUCUCUCUAAUGAGUUUGUAUUUGUAUAUGUUUGUGUAGGUGUGUAUGAUUGUAAUAAUUAUUUUUAACAAAAUAGAUAGAAUAUGGAUGGUAAAUCAAAUUAAUGCACUUGUCCAUGGCUGAAAGAAUGCCGGUUCACACAUACAAACAUUCACAUACUUCCCUUGUAUACGUACAUACAUACACACAUAUACUCACACAGAGUUGAAACGCUGUUUGAUUUUUCUUUUCAGCGUUGAAUGUUCACCAUCCCACUUCCCUAUCACACACACACAAACAUUCACAUACCUCCCUUUUACAUAUAAACACAUAUACCCACACAGAGUUGACACACUGAUUGAUGUUAUUCCAUCAUCCUCCACCAGUUUGCCAUUACCCCUUCCUUUCUCAUUCAUAUGUUGUGACGGAGAAAAAUACAAGACUAUUAUUAUAGUAGCUGGUUGGUUCAGUACUUCAAGAAUUUUCUUUCGAGUAUCAAGUAGAUGCAUCUUAUUUUUUGUUCUGCAAGAAUUAGGUGCAUCAAAAGUCUUCAAGGCUAACUAAUUUUUCACAAAUAGUACAUUGGAUUAGCAGAAUCAUAAUAGAGUCAGACAAAAUACCCUGCGAUAUUUGAGUCUUAACUCUUUAGUUUCUGACUUCAUAUCCAGCUGUUCGUCUCUUCUUACUUUUAUGCCUCAGAGAUCGAUGAAACAAAGUAACAGCUAAAUAUCUAGUUAGAUAUCUUCAACUCUACCCUUGCUACAUAGGUCGUUUCUUGAAAGACAUCAUUCUGUUGAUGGAAGUUAGUUGGUUUACAAAGAAAAGAAAAGGAGCUGGAUACAUAAAGCAUGUCUGUGUGUGUGUGUGUGUGUGUGUGUGUGUGUGAAAGUGAAAAUGGAAAAGCAAUCAAUAUGGUUUCCUUUUUCAUUUUCACUUUAUUCUAUAUCUACUUGCUCAAGGCAUAGCCACCUAUAGCCGCUUCUGAUAUGCAGUCUCAACAUCACAUGUUCAGUUGCAGUUCAAACCGGUGUUUUUAGUGGCAAACCAAACAGAGCACUCAUAGUACAUACCUAUCACUUUAAAUCAGUUGACGGAAACCUCUUAUGUAUUCUCUAUCUCUCUCUCUCUCUCUCUCUUAUAUAUAUAUAUAUAUAUAUAUAUAUAUAUAUAUAUAUAUAUAUAUUGUGUGUGUGUAUAUGUGUGUGUAUAUAUAUAUGUAUGUAUAAAAAAAUACAAACUGGGACAAGAACGUAAAACAUUUAAAAGACGAUUUAAAAAACACGGGCGGGAUAUUCGAAGCCUUCAAUCUUCAGUCAAGAACUGGACCAUCCUCGCAAUUUCGGCUGAUUAAUAUGUUUAGUCAAUAUGUGAGUUCCAGAGAUUCUCAGUAUAGAAGACAGUAGUGUUCAAAUGAUUCGAACUGAGACUCUGAUGACUACACAGAGGAUUAAUUCCACGGCAUAAAGAAUGGCUAUAAGAGGCAUCAAGUUGAGCAAAUACACAUUGUUAGAUCUGCCGGAAUGAGAUCGGAAGCUAUUUUUCGCAAGACCGAAAGAAAUUUCCAUGAUUAAGAGUUGCUCACUGAACUUUCACGCGGUACUUUUUCUUCGGGUUUCUUGAAAGCCAUGCUACUGGACGAGCUCAGCUUCCGGUGAAUGCAGAUAAACAAAUUGGAUAUAUUAAAUAUAAAUUUAUAUGUAUAUAUUCUUGAUAGCUGUGAGAAACGUAAACCUUAUGGAUUUGCUCCUGGGGUGGGGGUAAUGCAUACAUAAGAACGUUGAAUAUAAACGCAUGAUGCUAACGCAAAAUAAUAGUAAAUAUCAAAAUAGGCACCACAGUUAACGCAUUGAAACAACGCAUUUCUAUGUGUGGUUACUUCGUUAACCUGGGAUAAAUGCAUUCUACAUCAUUAGCUAUAAUUCUCUAUAAUUUGGGUAAUAAUAAAGUUAGCUAUAAAUUGAAAUGAUCAGGAUAAGCCAUACCGUACCGGGAACGUAAGAAUCCACACCGUUAUAUAUGUAUAUGUAUGUAUGCAUGAACCUUCUUCUGAUCUUAUUGAAUUAGCACUGUGAUUCCUGCAACGGGAUCGAACACAGUAGCGUUGUGAACAUCUCAUUUGCACUGCUACACUCAAGCACACACACACACAUACACACAAACAUGCACACACACACACACACACGCACGCACACACACACACACACACACACACAUAUACACACACAUUGUUAGAUCUGCCGGAAUCAGAUCGGAAGCUAUUUUUCGCAAAACCGAAAGAAAUUUCCAUGAUUAAGAGUUGCAGACUGAACGUUCACGCUGUACUUUUUCUUCGGGUUUCUUGAAAGCCAUGCUACUGGACGAGCUCAGCUUCCGGCGAAAUGUAGAACAUUCUAGAAUCUAUUUCCGUUUUGAGUGCACUUCAUUCGAUAUUAGUACGGUACACGCACACGCAUACACUCACACACACACACACACAAACACACGUACGCACGCAUAAAAACAUACACACUCACACAGAUAUACGUAUGUCCGUUUGAAUGUAUAUAACUAUAUAUGCCACAGAAACUCCCAAAUCUAGACGCCAAUAUUUAAGAAUUGUCCAAGCCUAAUUAGGCCACCUAUGAAGAAAACCAAAGUAAGCGAACCCCACAGACAAUCAAUCCACUAACACUUUCCAUUUUACGAAAAUGAAGGACAACCCGGAAGAAAGAGGCUAAAAUAUAAGAAAUUCAUGGUGGAGCACACAAUAUGUGCAUUCUCGAAGGCGGCGAGCUGGCAGAAACGUUAGCACGUCUGCCGCUACGUUCUGAGUUAAAAUUCCGCCGAGGUCGAGUUUGACUUUCAUCCUUUCGGGGACGAUUAAGUAAGUACCAGUUAAGCACUGGGGUCGAUAUUAUCGACUUAAUCCGUUUGUCUGUACUUGUUUGUCCCCUCUGUGUUUAGCCCCUUGUGGGUAGUAAAGAAAUAGCUAUUUCGUCUGCCGCUAUGUUCUGAGUUCAAAUUCCGCCGAGGUCGACUUUGCUUUUCAUCCUUCAAGGUCGAUAAAUUAAGUACCAGUUACGCACUGGGGUCGAUCUAAUUGACGGGCUCCCUCCCCAAGAAUUUCGAGCCUUGUGCCUAGAGUAGAAAAUAAUAUGUGUAUUCUCGUCAUCAGAUGCGCAAUUGAUUAUUAGUAUAGUAUUGACUCACUUUACGAUAACCCCGCUGUACGAGAUCCCUAGUUAAUGAGUUUUAUUUUAUAAUAAAUAUAUAAAGAUUAAAUAGUCAUUUUGUGUGUGUUGGCAACAUCGCAACAUGUGGUAACACUGGUUCUGAAAGCGAAAACAAGCUUCUUCUAACCAAACAACUCUAGACAUUUGUUUAAAAGAAAAUCUACACGCCCGCCUAUGAGUGCUUGUGAAUCGGCGAUCGGGUUUACAAGUGAUGUUGUGCGCGAGUCUAGUGCGAGUGAAAGCGGUUCAGAAAAUGAUUACAAUAUCUUUUAUUAUAAACUAUCUUGACAUUCUUUUUACUUUGCAUAAAAUAUUCUUUACAUUUUACUGUUGUUUUAUUGCCAUUUAUUUACGAGUAUUAUAAAUUUUAUGGGGAAAAUAUUUUCGUCUGAACGAAUUACGACUUAUAACAUUGUUACUAUGGGAAAUUAUAACUCUGAUAUAUGAGUUUUCGCCUUACGAGCAGUCUCCGAGAACAAAUUGACUCGCAUAGCGAGACAUUACUAAAUCUAUAUGUGUGUGAUUUUUUAUAGUUCUGUACGCAUACGUGCGUGUAUAUGUUUGUGUUUAGAAAUAUAUAUAUGGUAGAGUUUCAUAUGUAAUGUUGUGACUCGAAAAUAAGUCAAUAACCUGAUAUUAUCCUUACAGUUAGAUAACAAAAUCUCCCGCUAAAUGUGCCAGGUAGCUUAAAUUUCAGAAAACUAUAUACAAUGUUGGUGUGAAUGGAUCUUGCCUUCAGAGCCAAAUGAUAAAAACCAUAGACAUGCUUCAGUCUUUUCAAAUCUUAUCAGCUGCACAUAUUCAAUUUAAUUGGCUACACUUCCUUCUUAUCAAGUGUGUGUGCAUGUGAGUAUACAUAUAUAUACAUAUGUAAGUGUGCAUAUAUAACACGCACACACACACAGACACACACAUACACACAUAUGUAUAUAUAUAUGCACAAACACGUACAUCCACAGCUAGUGAUGGUGGUUUGCGCGCGUGUGUGUGUAUGUGUGUGCGCGGGCGUAUGAUUAUAUGUAUGUAAGAAUAUAAAAAGGAUAUAUCUUGUAUGGUUUUGGGAAUUUAGGGAGAUCUGAGAAAACGUUUAUAUAUAUAUAUAUAUAUAUCAUGCAUAUAUAUAUAUAUAUAUAUAUAUAUAUAUAUAUAUAUAUAUAUAUAUAUAUAUAUAUAUACUAAGUAUAAGGGUUUACAACGAUAUAUAUAUAUAUAUAUAUAUAUAUAUAUAUAUAUAUAUAUAUAUAUAUAUAUAUAUAUAUAUAUAUACAUCUAUACAUAUAUAUAUGUAUAUAUAUAUAUAUGUAUCCAUACAUGUAUGUGUGUGUGUAUACACACACACACACACACACAAGACUCGCAUUCAAAGACAGGAAAUGUACCUCUGAUAAAAUUCCUCUCAAAAGCUAUAAAUGUUUUUCGUUUCUUUUGUUCGUGGCCUUCUUCAGAUGUACAUCUUUACCUGAUAUCUACAGCAUUCUAUGUUAGUGGAUGCAUGAAAAAAUCUGGGUUUUCUCUAUUUUAGACAGGUAUACACACCUACACUCAUACACUGCCCUCAACACGCAUCUACUGGCUAUUAUUACUUCUCGUAAAUGUUCCGCUACCGUCUCUCCUCUUUGUAUUUAUAUAUGAGUGCGUGCGCUCAUGUAUGUGUGUGCUUGUGUGUGUGAGUCUGUGUGUGUAUGUGUGUCUCAAAUACCCAGGUCCGGUACACAACAUUUAUACUGAUGCACUUGACGAAUAUACCCGCAAGACUUCUUCCGUCUUUGAAGCUUUAUGACGUCUUUAAAUGUGUGUUGUGAAGGCGCAUGGCUCAAUAGUUAGAGCUUCGGGCUUACAAACGUUUGGUUGUGAGUUCGAUUCCCGGACCAAGCUGUGCAUUGUGUUCUUGAGCAAGGCGCUUUGUUUCAAGUCGCUGCAGUUCACUCAGCUGUAGAAAUAACAUUUGACGUCACUGGUGCCAAACAGCAUAGGAUUUUGCCUUUCCCUUGGACAAUAUCGGUGGCGUGGAGAAGGAACGCGCGUAUGCAUGGGUGACUGGUGGCCUUCCAGUAACACCUUGCCCACAUUUGUUCCCCAGAGGGGAACGUUCAAGGCCAUGGUCGUUCAUGACCGAAUGGGGGUCCCUAAUAUAUACACACACAGAGAACAGUUAUCGUUGAAAGUAACUAAAGAAAUGUCUAGUUCACGCUAGAUAUGAAACUACUGGUUUUUCUCUAAAACUUACUUUACACAUACAAAUAUGUGUGUGUAUCGUUCGCGAUUUUUUUCCCUCUGUCUUCCCUUCCUUGGAUCUUUCCUUUUCCUAUGUUUCUGACGAAGAGCUCUGCUCGAAACGUUAAAUCCUCCUUCUUUCUUUCCUUUCCUGAGCGUCCAAUUACACUAUACUUAUUCCACGUCCUCGCGUUGUUGUGCUUUCUCUUUGUGUUUUCAUGUUUGGAUUAACUAUAUAUGCAUAUAUAUGUAUACAUACAUACGUACAUACAUAUGCAUACAUGCAUAUGUGUGUGUGUGUGUGUGCGUGGUUAUGGUUAUGGUUAGAGCAUCGGGCUUACAAUCAUGAAGUAGUGAGUUCGAUUCCCGGAGCAGGUUGUGCGUUGUUGUUUUUGAGCAAGACACUUUAUUUCACGUUGCUCCAGUUCACUCAGCUGUAGAAAUGAGUUGUGUCGUCACUGGUGCCAAACUGUAUCGGCCUUUGCUUUUCUCUUGGACAAUAUCGGUGGCGUGGAGAUGAGAGGCUGGUAUGCAAGGGUAACUGCUGGCUUUCCAGAAACAACCUCGUCCGGACUUGUGCUUCGGAGGGGGAAACAACUUAGGUGCAGUCCUAUGGUCAUACGUAACCGAAGGAGAUUUUUAAAUAUGUGUAAGGCUUCUUAUGUGUUUGUUGACGUACAACGCACACAUAUAUAAUCAUUUAUUCGUUUACAUGUAUCAGUCAUUUGACUGCGGCCAUGCUGGAACACCGGCCUUAGUCGAACAAAUCGACCCCAGGACUUAUUCUUUGUAAGCCUAGUAUUUAUUCUGCCGAACCACAACGUUAAGUUAUUGGGACGUAGACACACCAAAUUCGGUUGACAAGCGACGGUAAGGUGAGGACAAACACAGACACACAAACGCACACACACACGCACACACACACACACACACAUAUAUAUAUAUAUAUAUAUAUAUAUAUAUAUAUAUAUAUGUAUACACACGCGCACACACACACACUCACACAUAUAUAUAUAUAAUACUUUUAAUUGUUUAUACGUUUCAGCCCAGAGGCUGUGGCCAUGCUAGAGCACAGCCGGUGUAAUAAUCUUUCUAUGGGCUAUUCUGACGUGAUUCGCUUUUAGCAUAUAUAUAUAUAUAUAUAUGUAUGUAUGUAUGUAUAUACAUAUAUAUUCCGGUCGGGCAACUUACCCACACAUGUGACUCUCCCACGUGAGAAGUCCCGAUAGAGCGACGUGGCAUGAAUGUUCUGACCUGGCAUUUAAUCACAUUGUCCGUUCGCUGUGUGCGCGCGCGCGUAGGUGUAGCAAUUACAAUAAAUAUUAAUUUUACGUGUCAAUAUACAUAUAUACGUGCGUGUAUGAAUAUAUAUAUAUAUAUAUAUAUAUAUAUAUAUAUAUAUAUAUAUAUAUAUAUAUAUACAUAUAUAUACACGUAUAUAUACGUAUAUAUAUAUAUUUACAUGUACGUAUGUGUAUAAUAUAUAUACAUAUAUGCAUAGGAGUAGCAGUGUGGUAAGAACCUUGCUUCUCAACCCAUGGUUCCGUGUUCAGUCCCACUGCGUGGCACCUUGGACAACUGUCUUUAGCCUCGGGAUUACUAAAGCUUUGUGAGUGGAUUUGGUAGAUGGAAACUGAAAGAAGCCUGUCGUAUAUGUGUGUGUGUAUACAGACAUUCCUAUAUAUGCAUGUAUACAUAUUUGUGUGUAAGUGUGUGUAUAUAUAUAUAUAUAUAUAUAUAUAUGUAUGUAUGCAUGCAUGUAUGUAUGUAUACUCACACAUACGCCUCUGCAUGCAUAUUUAAUGCGAUGAAUGCAUACCAUUGUGGGUUUGAAUCAAUACACCCUUCUCACUUGGCAUGCUUGAGUGUGUUGUGUGUGUGUGAAUGUGUGUGUGUGUGCGCGUGUGUGUUUGUGUGUGAUUUUCGACUCUUUUCCCGUGUUUCCGUGAGUUAUCUUAGAUAAAAGUGCUGUCCAUGGUAUGAUGGUAUGGAAGACUGGUAUGGCGAACUGCGUGAAUAUAUCCAGUCAUAUAUGUGAUUCUACUGAUGAUAGUUUUUAGGUCAAAAUGUUAGCACUGUGCUAAUUCGCUCUCUGCCCCACAUAUGCACAUAUAUGUAUGCGUGCAGCUAAUGUAAGUAUGUAUGUUUUUUUUUAAAUAAAAAUAAAUAAAUACCUAGAUGAAUAAAUUCAAAAUUAAGAAUGUAAAUAAAAAUAUAAAAUGAUAUAUGAAUAUAUAUAUAUAUAUAUAUAUAUAUAUAUAUAUUCAUGCCAAGGAUUCCAACAUCACCAUCAAAAUACAGGUCCAGAUACUGCAACAGCUUGGGUUUCAGAGGACCACAGCUCUUUAACAUCCUCCCUAAAUGCCUGAGAGACUUACAUGGUGUGGAUGUGGGUUUCUUUAAAACUAAACCGGAUCUCUUCUUGUCGGGAGUCCCAGAUGAACCUACCUCACGACAGGAGACGCAGAUGCGGGCAGCAGCAUCGAACUCCCUUGUUGAUCAAGUGCCACGUAUCAGAGGUGGAUUGACAAAUUAGUGUAGCUCAUUCAGCGGUGGUGCCCCAGCAUGGCCGCGGCCUUCGGGCUAAAACAUUUUUAUGGAUUUAAGGAUAUAUAUAUAUAUAUGUAUGUAUAUAUGUGUGUGUGUGAAUGUUUGAGUUUUUGCUUCCCCCACAUGUAUAUAUAUAUAUAUAUAUAUAUAUAUGUAUAUAUAUAUAUAUAUAUAUAUACGCACACGUGUUUGUGUGUGUGUGCGUGUGUGUAUGUUUGCGUGUCUGUGUUGGUCCUCACCCCACUGUCGCUUGACAAUCGACGUUGGUGUUUAUUUCCCUGUCACUUAAAUGGUUCUGCAAAAGAGAUCGGUGCCCCAGCAUGGCCACAGCUCGUGAGCUGAAACUAGAAUCAAUCAAUCAAUCAAAUUAUAAGUACUAGGCUUGCGAAAAAUGAGUCCUGGAGGUCGAUAUGUUCGACUAAUGGCGGUGCUCCAGCAUGGCCGCAGUUAAAUGAUCGAAACAAAUAAAAGAAUACGUGAGUAAAUAUAUAAAUGAUAUAUAUAUAAAUAUGUCAAAAUGAUAUAUCUGUCACUCGUGUUUGAAACCCUGUCAAUCAUCUGGGGGGGGGGGGUCGUCAACGGAGUGAUUGUGCUAUGUGAUGUGAUGUGGUGUGGAGUGUGCGUGUGUUGAUGGGACGGUUGUCAUCUGUCAUGAUAAAGCAAUCAUCCUGCAUGCAUGCAUGCAUGUAUGUAUGUAUGUAUGUAUGUAUGUAUGUAUGUAUUGAAUGGAUGGAUGGUUUGUUUGCUUUAAUGAGGAAUGUAAAGUUACACAAAACAAUUUAACAUUUUGCUGAAACAUCACUCACUAAUUUUGGUGGGGAGAACAUAUCCGUUUGUCUAUCUAUCUAUCUAUCUAUCUAUCUAUCUAUCUAUCUAUCUAUCUAUCUAUCUAUCUAUCUAUCUAUCUAUCUAUCUAUCUAUCUUUCUAUCUAUCUAUCUAUCUGCCUCGGCGAGCUGGCAGAAACGUUAGCGCGCCGGGCGAAAUGCUUAGCGGUAUUUCGUCUGCCACUACGUUCUGAGUUCAAAUUCCGCCGAGGUCGACUUUGCCUUUCAUCCUUUCGGGGUCGAUAAAUUAAGUACCAGUUACACACUGGAGUCGAUGUAAUCGACUUAAUCCCUUUGUCUGUCCUUGUUUGUCCCCUCUAUGUUUAGCCCCUUGUGGGCAAUAAAGAAAUAUAUAUCUGCCUGUCUGUCUAUCUAUCUGCCUGACUGUGAUACACGUUCCCUUUAUCUCCCUUCUUUUCUUUUUUCCUUUUUUUUUUGUUCUUUUUUUUUCUGAUCCCUUUUGGUCGGAAUUUUACAUUUGUUUCCUUUUUUGUUCCUUUUUUCUUUUUCCAUCUUCGAAAAGAAAAGCUCUACAUUUGUAUUUGUCCCAUCUGUAUUCAGCCCUGUGUGGCCAAUAAAGAAAGUUAUCUAUCUAUAUCUGCCUGUCUGUCUGUCUAUCUAUCUAUCUAUCUAUCUAUCUAUCUAUCUAUCUAUCUAUCUAUCUAUCUAUCUAUCUAUCUAUCUAAUUAUCUAUCUAUCUAUCUCUAACCAAAAAGGAAUUCGACAGAAUAAAUGCCAGACUUAAAAACAAAUACUGGGGGUCGAUUGUUCUCGACUAAACCUAUCGAAGCCGUGUCCCAUAGGGGCCGCAAUCCAAUACCUGAAACACGUGGUGUGUGUGUGUGUGUGUGAGAGAGAGAGAGAGAGAGAGAGAGAGAGAGAGAGAGAAAGAGAGAGUGAGAGAGAGCUACAGAGAGAGAUAGAGGGAGGAGAGGGAGUCUUUAUGUGUUGCUUGCAGAAAUUAGGAGGAAAGAGCGGUCCGCAUAGUUUUUGCAAGCUGGUGAGAUUUCAUGCUUUUAAGUUUUUGUUUGAACGGGUUGCAAAUCGACGUCAAUAUGAAAGCCAUAACCAGGCCGUUGGUGCAUCGGACACAAUACCUAGCGCUGUUCGUUCCGGAUCGCUACGCCCUGAGUUCAAAUCAUACAGAGGUCAAUUUUUUUUUCUGUCUUUCUUUCUUUCUUUCUUUCUUUCUUUCUUUCUUUCUUUCUUUCACCCAUUCUUUCUUUCUGUUUUCGUUUCUUCCUUUCCUUCUUUCUUUGCUUAUUUCUUCCUUUCACUCAUUAUUUCUAUUUUCUUCCUUUCUUUCUUCUACUCAUUCUUCCUUCCUUCCUAUCUUUUUCUUCCACUCAUCCUUUCUUCCUUUCUUUCGUUCUUUUCAUUUUUUCCUUUCCUUUCUGUUUUUCCCUUGUCUUCCUUUUCUUCUUUCCGUACUCCUUUUUCUUUCUUUCCAUUUUUAUUCGAUCAACAAAGUACCAUCCCAGUACUGGAUCGAUAUUGCCUCCCCCUGUCUUUCUCACCUUCUUGUUAGAAGUAACCAGCUCUGUUCAGAUCUCGAGUGGAAUGGACUGUGGCAGGUUUAAUAUGUUAAGCAUUUUUGCCAGGCGUGCUAACGAUUAUACCAGUUCACCACCAAACACGGUUAAUAUUAUUAUUAUUAUUAUUAUUGUUAUUAUUAUUAUUAUUAUUAUUAUUAGUAGUAGUAGUAGUAGUAGUAGUAGUAGUAGUAGUAAUAGUAGUAGUAGUAGUAGUAGUAGUAGUAGUAGUAGUAGUAUUACUAUUAUUAUAAAAGGGCGGCAUCUAGCAGAAUCAUUAACACACAGGGCGAAAUACUUGGCGGUAUUUCGUCUGCCCUUACGUUCUGAGUUCAAAUUCCACCGAGGCCGACUUUGCCUUUCAUUCUUUCGGGGUCGAUAAACUAAGUACCAGUUAUGUACUGGGGUCGAUGUAAUCGACUUAAUCCCUUUGUCUGUCUUUGUUUGUCCCCUCUAUGUUUAGCCCCCUAUGGGCAAUAAAGCAAUAAAUAUUAUUAUCAACAGAGAAAACAGAAAUACUACCUCCUACUACCUCCACCAAUAGCAUAUCCAUCCAUCAAUGCCCACCGCUACCAACAUAAAUAUUAUCACAACAUAUAUCACCAGCACCAACACAAAUACCACCACCAUCGUCACUACUACCACCACCACCAUCAUCAUCACCACCACCACCACAACCACCACCAUCACACAAAUACCACCCAACAGUACCACUACCAUCAUUACAAAUAACACCAUCAGUACCUACCCACCACACUAACACCACUACCGAUAGCACCACAACCACCACCAUCACAUAUACCCCACCACCACUACCAAUAGCACUACAACCACCUCCACUAACACCACUACCGAUAGCACCACAACCACCACCAUCACACAUACCCCACCACCACUACCAAUAGCACUACAACCACCUCCACUAACACCACUACCGAUAGCACCACAACCACCACCAUCACAUAUACCCCACCACCACUACGAGUAGCACUACAACCACCUCCACUAACACCACUACCGAUAGCACCACAACCACCACCACCACCACCACAUAUACCCCACCGCCACCACCACACAAAUACCACGAUAACGCUUGCACUACCACCACCACCACCACCACCAACAGCUACAACAGCUCCACCGAGUCCACCACAAAUAACACCUGUACCACCAACAUAACCGACAACCUCCUACACCCACCAUCACCACAUAUGUUUAUGAAACCAAAUGCCACGAUUGUCAAAACAACCGCCUAAAAUAUUAACACAAGGCACCACCACACAAUCAUAUUCACUGCUGCACCAAAUAGUGCACAUAUGCUCAAAUGCAUUUGUAAAGCCAUUGCACAAACCAGCUGCUGUAUGGUGCAUUCAGUUGUUCUUUUACUGCAUGCGUAGGUGGUGGCGUUUUACUAGUCUAGUAACUACCAUUUGCAGUGGAUUUGUAUAACUGCACUUACAUUUUGCAUGUGUGUGUAUAUGACUAAGUGUCAGCAACAGUGCAUACGUCUAUGUGUAUAAAUAUAUCAUCAUCAUCUUCAUCAUGGACAGGUCGGUUUGACAGGAGCUUCCUAGGGCUAAAUAGCAGUAGUAUGAUUCCCUUCAUGGGACUGUCACAUUAUGUUGACAGCAUAUAACUACUUUAUAUAUAUAUACUACUUUAUAUAUAUAAAUAUAUAUAUAUAUUUAUAUAUACUUUAUUUUAAGCAGCAGAAAAUUUAACAAAAUCUGUUACUCUGAGUUUCUCGUUGCCCAAAAACUGUCUGAUGAACGGCAACGAGAAACUCAGAGUAACAGAUUUUGUUGAAUUUUCUGCUGCUUAAAAUAAAGCAUAUUACUCUACCACUGGUAUUUGAGUACUCUUUUUUCCACCUUGUUUCACAUUUAUGUGUUUACUCCGGUCUAUAUUUAUAUAUAUAAAGUAGUUGUAUACUGUCAACAUAAUGUGACAGUCCCAUGAAGGGAAUCAUACUACUGCUAUUUAGCCCUAGCCAGCUCCUGCCAAACCGACCAGUCCAUGACAGCUUGGAAAGUAGGCAUUAAAUGAUGAAGAUGAUGAUGAUAUAUUUAUACACAUAGACGUAUGCACUCUUGCUGACACUUAGCCAUAAUAUAUAUAUAUAUAUAUUUAUAUAUAUAAAGUAGUUGUAUACUGUCAACAUAAUGUGACAGUCCCAUGAAGGGAAUCAUACUACUGCUAUUUAGCCCUAGGAAGCAGCAACACUUCCUGUCAGAACCUUGAUUGCUAUCCUUAGUAGUAUAGGUUUAUUGUACUUCACGCUGGAAAACUCUCAAACAUACUAUUGCAUAUAUAUAUAUAUAUAUAUAUAUAUAUAUAUAAACAUACACACACAGGAACAAAUAUUCUUAGAUGUUUUCAACUAUGUUUCAUAUUUAUUAUGCAGACUAAUUAAUUGUAAAUCACAAUAUUCUAAAUUAUUGUUAAUAUUAAUUAUUUAUUAAUUACUUUAUUAUUACAUGCCUCAGAGGAAAAAGACCAGACAGAACGUGUUAUAUUUGACACUUCCAUAUCUAAAGUCAUAUACACAUAUCACUUCAGAUGUAUAUAGUUAUAUCUAAGCGUACCUAUGUACAUUAGUAUAUACCUGUGUAUGGGUGUGUGAGUUUGUGUGUACAUAAACAUUGAAUUUUUGUACAUUUAAAGAAGUGUUAGUAAAUUACGUGGGAAUUGUAUUUACUUCCAUUUAACUUCCAUACAUCAUAUUUAUCUCUGUAUCUCUCUAACUUUUUACAUACCUAUCUCUCCGUCACUCCGUUUAACAACUUGUUCAUCUGUCCUCUGUACACCUAUACUUGCAUUUUUGAGCAAACGCUUUCCUUUCUUGUUGCUGCUAUUCACUCAGUUGCAAACGUGUGACCCUGCAAAUGGACUAGCUUUGUGAUCAGAAGAAAUGUUGGCCUCAUUGUCUAGUGUAUUGUGGUUAGAGAUGUAUAACAAAAGCUGAUCGACUGGUUGAUCAAGUGAUAUAUAUAUUUAUAUAUAUAUAUAUAUAUAUAUACAUGUAUAUAUAUAUAUAUGUAUAUAUAUAUAUAUAUACAUGUAUAUAUAUAUAUAUUUAUAUACAGACAGAUAGAUAGAUAGAUAGAUAGAUAGAUAGAUAGAUAGAUAGAUAGAUAGAUAGAUAGAUAGAUAGAUAGAUAGAUAGAUAGUUAGAUACAUUGAUAGAUUGGUAGUUAUAGAGAAAUGAAUUGAUAAAUAGAGAGAUAGAUAAGUAUAUAUAUCAACAUCAUUGUUUAACGUCUGCUGUCCCAGCUGGCAUGGGUUAGAGAGUUUGACUAGGGGUGAUGAGCCAGAGAUUUGCACUUGAUUCCAAUCUGAUUUGGCAUGGUUUUUACAGCGGGAUGCUGUUCAUAACACCAACCUCUACAGGAGUGUUAUGGCUGCUUUUACAUGCCAUCAGUAUGGGUGCCAUUCAUCUGUGUGUGUGUGUGAAUAUAUAUGUAUAUAUAUAUAUAUAUGUAUGCAUAUAUAUAUAUAUAUAUAUAUAUAUAUAUAUAUAUGUCAUUAUCAUCAUCAUCAUUCAAUGUCCGCUUUCCAUGCUAGCAUGGGUUGGACGAUUUGACUGAGGACUGGCGAACCAGAUGGCUGCACCAGGCUCCAAUCUGAUCUGGCAGAGUUUCUACACUUGGAUGCCUUUCCUAAUGCCUACCAUUCUGAAAGUGUAGUGGGUGCUUUCAUGUGGCUCCGGCAUGAGGGCCACUCAGGCAGUACUGGCAAUGGCCACGCUCAAGUGGUGUUUUUUACAUGGCAGCUGCACAGUCAACCUAGCUCGAAUGUCUUUCAUGUGCCACCGGCGCAAGUGCCAGUAAGGUGACGCUGGUAACGAUCCCGUUUGAAUGGUGCUUUUUACAUGCCACCAGCACAGAAGCCAGUCAGCUGCUCUGGCAGCAAGAGAGAGCAAAUGGCUAAGGACAGUUUAGGUGUGAAGUUGGUGUAUUUCCAGUGAAGUACUCGCCUCAAGAACUAGGAUGUCAACACUGUCAGGAUCCAAACCAAAGCCAGAAAACUUCAGUUGUAGAAAAUGCAAGUUUCAUGAUGAUUAUACCAUCAUAUGGCUUGGCAAAGAAUAUACAAUCCAAUGAAAAGAAGAAGAUAAAGACAAUUCGUUAACACAUCUUCAAUUAUGAUUUGCAAAUGUUUCAGUCCCAUCUUUUCCUUUUAAAAAUUUUUGUGUAAACUAGUGCUGCAAACGGAAAUGGUAGAGAAAACUUUGUAAUUUACAAUUAAAGAUGUGACAAUGAAUUUUCUUUGGCUUCUACUUUUCAUUGGUAUAUAUAUAUAUAUAUAUAUAUAUAUACACACACACAUUCACAGACAUAUAUACACACAUUUCUAGGUGUGUUUGAGACUUUCUAUAAUUGUGUCAGCAUAUAGAUAACAAUUUCUAAGAUGAGGAUACAAGUAUGCUUGUUCAUGAAUACAUGUACAAAUUCAUGAUUGUUGCUGUAAAUGUGUGUGUGUAUGCACUCAUGCGCGUAUCAGUGGAGCUUGCACAUGAAGAGUUUCUUGUAAAAUCCUUUAGCUUUAUUGCUGUGGAACCAUAAUUCCUAUUCACCAAGAUAUAUGAAGCAAAUCUAAGGAUCCUCAACAGGAAAGUAUAUACAUACAUAUAUAUAUAUAUAUAUAUAUAUAUACACACACAAAUCUCUAUAUAUAUAUAUGUACAUACAUAUAUAUCAUAUAUGUACACACACAUAUAUGUAUGUAAAUUUAUCUAUCUAUCUAUCUAUCUAUCUAUCUAUCUAUCUAUCUAUAUGUAUAUGUAUAUAUAUAUAUAUAUAUAUAUGCACAAAUCUAUAUAUAGAUAUACACAAAUCUAUAUAUAGAUAUACAUUUGUACAUAACAGUACAAAUAUAUGUACAUAUAUAUAGAGAGAGAGAUAAAUAUAUAUAGACAUAGUUAUAUGAUUAAGACUAUUAUAUUUAAUUUAAAGAAUUCAAUAGACUGUGCUGAUAUUCUUCAGAAGAGUUCACAGAGCAACAUUAAUUUCCUUGAUUUAGUUAAGAUAGCAUAAUAAGAAAUCUCAGACCGACUUACAGACAUACACACACACACACACAUCCACAUCUGUGUAUAUAAUCGUGUAUAUAUAUGUGUGUAUGUAUAUAUUCAUACAUGCAUGUGUGUAUAUAUUUGCAGUGUACAUGUAAUUUAAUAUCUUUAUAACUAGAUAUUUUUCUGUUGUCUACACUCACACAUAUACACACAUAUAUACACACUUGCAUAAAAAUAAUUGUUGUAUUUUGCCAAUUGAUAUAAAUAUGAAAAGAACCAUAAUUCUGAGCAAUCUCAUAAAUACAGAAAUUGGUUUUUAUAUAGUUUUAUCUAGACUCAUGUGUGUAUGAAUGUGUGAGUCUGCAUGUGUGUGUGUGUGUGCUUGUGUGCAUGAAUGGUUGUGUGUGUGUUUGUGUGUGUAAAGUGGACAUACAAUUAUAUUAAAUAUACCUAUGUCCCCUCAGAUUGAAAGAAUGAUAAACACCCUUAAUCGAUUUGUGACCCUAAGCGUGUUCUUAUCAGAGCGGCCUCAGGCUACAAAUUUGUGAAUUAUAAGUGAUUAGCAUCUUAUGAAAUAUCAGAGGCUUGUCCAUACUAUAUGAAAAAAAUGGUAUAAUGUAUAUAAAUCUAUGCAGUAGAUAUAGAAGGAUCUCAAGUUUACCUAUUUCCACAAAAUUUGGAAAAAAUUAUGUUUAUAGCCUACUCUCUAAUGAACCCAGACCAACCAAAUGACACUGAAAGUGAAGGCAGACUUUUGUAUAUACAGUGUGUUCUCAAAUCAUUUUUACAUCUUCUACAGUUUAUCAUAUUUUAUUAUGUAGAUGUAUUGUGUACAGCCAUUGGAGGCCAUGUGGAAGUGUACUGAUGUUUCUGAUAAAACUUUGUUUGCCAAUAAACUCUGUUGAGUUAUCCAUAUUUUCCAUUUUUGCUAAAUCUUUGAAAAUUGUAAAGGUUAUUUAUGGAUAACCAGUAUAUAUCUGUAUCUAUAUUGCCCCCCUUCUCUCUCUCUGUGUCUCUCUUUAUAUAUAUAUAUGUGUGUGUGUGUGUGUGUGUGUAUUUAAAUCUAAAAUAAUAAGGGUGAAGAAUUGAAUAUUAAUUUAAUUAAUAUCAAUUUAAAACCAAUGGUCUAGCAUAUUAAAAUCUGAAGGUUCAGAAAAUUAUAUUACAUACAUACAUUGCAGAAAACUUACCUCAACAUAAUCCAUCCAAACUGAAAAAUUAUGGAAGUGUAGAAGUUAAAUUAUGAUGGCAAAUGAUGAUGAUGAUGAUGUAUACUUAUCUAUAGAUAUGUAACCCAAGUCAGAAGUACUGUUAUUUACAGUUUAAAACCUAACCGCAUAACCUGAUUCUUUGAAGGAUUAAAAACCUUAAAUAUACUCAAAAUUAUAAACAACAAGCGAAGAUAAGAAAUAUUUUCUAAUUCAAACAUUUAUACAUAUAUGCAAAUUUGUAAAAGUGUUUAUGCAGAAAUGCAUGCAUAUCUGUAUCCAUGUCAAUGGCUAUAUGUGUAUGAAUGUAUGUAUAUGUGUAUGAAUGUAUGUAUAUGAGUAGGAAUGUAUGUAUAUGAGUAUGAAUGUAUGUAUAAGUUUGUGAAUAUGUAUGAAUGUGUGCGAAUGAGCUCUCUCUUUUCUAUGUUGUUUACAAAACUGUUUUAAAUCCAUAUUACAGAGAUAUAUCAAUAUUUUUUAAUUAUUGUUGUUGUUGUUGUCAUCCCCCUCUUCUUCCUCAUCAUCAUCAACAUUAUUUACAUAUACAAUAUAUAUAAUCUCUCUUAUAAUCUUCACAUGUUUAUGUUUUAUUUUAUUAUAAUUUUUUUUUCUAUUUUCUUAUUCUCCUACAUGUUGCUUAGUUCUGAUUCAAUUUUACAAAAUGGCUAAUUAUAAAUAGAAUUGCUAAAAUUUACAUUUUUGAUGUUCUAAGUCUCUUUGGUUUCAACUUUAAAGAAUCCUAUUAUUCUAAUUUCCUGAUUUUUCUUUUGGUAGAAGGAGGAGAGUGUUUUUCAUUUUUGUUCUUAUACAGUUUUAUUUUACCAUUUAUCUUCAAGUCAGGAAAGAAUGCAACAUUAUCAAAUAUGUACUUGUCGAGAUCUUUUCUUUAACCCUAUUAAUACCAAACUGCACAUUAGUACAGAUAUAAUACUGCAGCUGUUAAAUAUUAAUCACAGAGCAGGCUCAACUCUCCAUCAAAUAAAUUCAAAGAGAUAUGAUUUUCAUAAAACAUUAAAAUUAAUUUUGCCAAAUUUGUUUAUUUUACUUAAUUUACAAUACAUAUAUAUAUAUAUAUAUAUAUAUAUAUAUAUAUAGGCACAGUGUGGCUGUGUGGUAAGAAGCUUACUUCCCAACCACAUGGUUCUGGGUUCAGUUCUACUGUGUGGUAUCUUGGGCAAGUGUUUUCUACUAUAGCCUCAGGCCAACCAAAGCCUUGUGAGUGAAUUUGGUAGAUGGAAACUGAAAGAAGCCUGUUGGAUAUAUAUGUAUGUAUGUAUGUAUGUAUGUAUGUAUGUAUGAAUGAAUGAAUGAAUGAAUGAAUGAAUAUAUUUGUGUGUGUGUUUGUGCUUCACAUGUUUAUGUUUUAUUUUAUUAUUCUUCAAUUACACUGUUGCCAAACUGUAUGGACAUUGCCUAUUGUUUGGUCAUCAUCAGUGAUGCUAAGGUAACAGCUAGAUUUUGUGGAAGCACAUGGCCUAGUGGUUAGGGCAGCGGAUUCGCAGUCGAGGGAUUGCGGGUUCAAAUCUCAGAUCGGGGCAUGUGUGUGUUUAUGAGCGAAACACCUAAUCUUCACGUGGCUCCAGCAGAAGAUAAUGGUGAACUUCUGCUGACUCUUUCGCCACAACUUUGUCUCACUCUUUCCUCCUGCAUCUUGCAGCUCACCUGCGACGGACUGGCGUCCCGUCCCAGUGGGGAACCUAUACACCAAGGAAACCAGGAAACCGGCCCUUAUGAGCCAGGCAUAGCUCAAGAAGGAACAAACAACAAGCAGGUAGAGUUUGUCCCUGAAGCCAUAAUCUUUGACCUGCUUCAUGCAGAACUCAUUCCAGGUGCAGAUUCUCAGACCAUCUUUUACAUAUAAGGUCAUUGAUUAGGCACAUUAAAAUGAUGACGUGUGCACAUGUACACAAACACAUAUACAUGCAAACAAAAGCAAGGAAGGGCAUCUGGCUAUAGAAACAUCCCAAAAGAUGCUGAAACAUGAUGCUGUCCUUUGUUUAAUCAAUUGCUGUUGUACUGUUCUAACCGUACCAGUGUGGAGAGGGAACAUUAAAUGAUGAUGCUGAGGUGGAGGAUAAUGGUGACGAUGAGUAUGAUGGUGAGGAUGAUAAUGAUGAUGAUGAGGAUGGGGAACAGCAGUCGUGGUUGUGUUGGUGUUUGUAGUGAUGCAGUUGAGAAUGAUAAUGAUGAUAAUGAUGCUUUAUCAACGUUGAUGGAAAUAUUCAUACUAUUUAUAAUACAGCGUCUUUUUUGCUAGAUUAUAACCAAUUUAGAAAACCAUUUUAUAUUUCAAUUUUCUUUUAUGUCUUUUUACUUACUAUUCAUUUUUCAUAAUUGUUGUAUAUUUAUAUUUAUAUGCACAUAUCUCUGAUCUACACAUCUCUUUUCUGUUCAAUUUAAUUAUUUUUCAUAUCUUCUACUUAAUUUUAAUAUAGAAGUUCUACUAUCUUCUGAAUCCAUUAUAUAUAAUUAUAAAAACAAAUACAUGCAUAUGAACAAUAGAUUAGAGUGACUGUUCAUCUCAUGAUGUGUUACUGUAUUUAAUUGACUAUUGUGGCAUAAAUAUAGACAUGCAAACUUUAGGCUAAUUCUGUUUUGUAAUAAGACUUCGAUCUGAUUUAGUUCUUCACUUUAACCUUUUAGCAUUCAAAUUACUCUAUUAAAAGUAUUGCUUCAAGAUUUCAGUGAUGUGAUUGUUUAGGCUUAAAAUGACAUUGUAGGGUAGGUGUGGGAAGCUGGAUCUGGUUAGUUUGAAUGAGCAAAAAUGUAGGCCAGAUCUGACCAAUUUAAAUAUUAAAGGGUUAAAAUUUGUUUUAUAUAAAAGUUAAAAACAAACUUCAGUGAGAUUGGUGAUCCUGAUACAGCAAGAACGUGGCUGUGCGGUAAGUUCCUUGCUCACGAACCACAUGGUUCCAGGUUCAGUCCCACUGUGUGGCACCUUGGGCAAAUGUCUUCUGCUAUUGCCUCGGGUUGACCAAAGACUUGUGAGUGGAUUUGGUAGAUGGAAACUGAAAGAAGCCCAUUGUAUAUAUAUAUAUGUAUGUGUGUGUGUGUAUAUUUGUCUGUCUGUGUUUGUCCCCCCAACAUUGCUUGACAACUGAUGCUGGUGUGUUUACAUCCCCUGUAACUUAGCGGUUUGACAAAAAUCAAUUACUGAUUGAGUAAAUAGAUCCAUGAAAAAACUUAUAAUGUUGAUCAGAAAUGCCAAAUUUGCUAAUAUAAAGGAAUAUAUUCCAACCAUUAUUUAUACUUUUUCUUGUAUACCACUCUGUGUAAAAGACUAAUGCAACCCUGGAUUCCCUAUAUAAAAUGGUGAUGAAUUAUAACUUUGCACUCUGCCAUGAGCAUACUCAGUAUUCUUUACUAAUCUAAAAAUGAUUUGUUAGCUUGGCAUAUUUGUAUUAAUAGAGUGCUUAUGAAGUAUUUUGCCCUGAUAGGUAACCCUUAUUGAUAACUUUCUCUGUCUGUCUUUCUACCCAUGCUUGCAUGGAAAACAGUCAUUACAUGAUGAUGAUAUAUACACACAUCUGAUAUGAUUUUUAAUCUUCCACACAUGCAUUUUGAGUUAGAUGAUGUUUUUCAGGACCGUAUGUCAGCACUUGUGUUCCUUUGUUAUCUUCCUCAUUGGAAUUUGAACACCUGAGAUCAUCUAUCAUCAGAUAGUCCCAUGUAUUUCAUAAUAUCUCUCUUCUGUAGUUUUCUUCCAUUCACUCUACUUAACAAUUUUCUAGCCAACAGUCUUUUUAGCAUACAAAUCCUCUGUCUGUCCUUGCGCAAGAUUCUCUCAAGCACAUUAUAUCAUAUUCAUUUUGUAUCCGAUUUUCCUCUCACUUCUUUUGUUUUCUGUCAUUCAUGCACACUAACAUUGCACACCCAGCAGAACAUGCUCACCUUAUUUCUUUCCAGCAUUUGCACAUUUUCUGCAUUCAAAACCAAUGUUAGGCUUCCAUGCAACAUUGCACAUCGUAAUGUGAAUCUUCAUAUCCAUACAUUGUUCAUAACAAUUUAUACUGGAUUACAUUACAUUACAUUACAUAUCACUAUAUAAUCUAAAUGUGUCAUAAAUUCUUAGAGUAAAUAUGAGUUUAUAGUAGAAACCCUGGAAUAUACAAGAACAUAGAACUUGAAUGAAUAGAUAAUGUAUAAUUAAUACGUAAUCUUUAUCUGAUUGUGCAGGAACAUUUAGACUGAUGAUGUUUAACUGUGAGAGCAACCCUGCUUCAGCUGUUCUAUUAUCUUUACACACACACACCUCACACACACACACACACACAUGCAUAUACAUACAAGGGUGUGCUAGAGAGUUCCUCGCUUUGGGUACAUGAAAAUGCAGGAGAAUCAGUUAAUCAUGAUUUUAUUCAACUUAUUCCCUUCUCAGAUUCGUACACUUAUUGCAGUGGUCCUUCAGUUAUUCUAAGUUCUUUAAAAGAACUUGGAAGGUUGGGUCUCCAGCCAGGUUUUAUUGCAAUAAAGUGGAGGCGCAAUGGCCCAGUGGUUAGGGCAGCGGACUCGCGGACAUAGGAUCGCGGUUUCGAUUCCCAGAUCGGGCGUUGUGAGUGCUUAUUGAGCGAAAACACCUAAAGCUCCACGAGGCUCCGGCAGGGGAUGGUGGUGAUCCCUGCUGUACUUUUUCACCACAACUUUCUCUCACUCUUACUUCCUGUUUCUGUUGUACCUGUAUUUCAAAGGGCCGGCCUUGUCACUCUCUGUGUCAUGCUGAAUAUCCCUGAGAACUACGUUAAGGGUACACGUGUCUGUGGAGUGCUCAGCCACUUACACGUUACUUUCAUGAGCAGGCUGUUCCAUUGAUUCGGAUCAACCAGAACACUCAUCGUUGUAACCGACGGAGUGCUUCGAUUGCAAUACUCUUGAAGCCAGAAACUUUUCAGGUACACGCACACACACACACACACACACACACAUACACCCAGGCACGUGCACAUAUGUAGCUAGCUAGGCAGACGGACAUAAUAAUUAUUGUGCUUGACAUUUCAAAUUUAGUUAUGAAUGAACACAUGUAGACAUUUAUGCAUGCACACAUAUGCACAUACACAUAUGCACAUAUGCAUAUGCACAUACACAUAUGCACAUACACAUGCACACACACUAAAUAUAUAUUUAAACAGUGGCUGUGUCUGUACAUUGUUAAGAAAACUUAAUUUUGGGAGUAUACUUAUGUUCCUGUUGUCUUUCCCAAGGUCAGCCCUGAGAAAGCUUACCUAUGAUUAAUUGCAUUCCAGCCUUACCAUCACUUUAAUCAGCUACAUAGUACCCUCUACAGUAUUGAGCUGUGUCACUUUUGCAAGACAGCAAGUUGUGGUUUUUAAGGAAGAUUUAGUUAGUAUUUCUAGCAAUUGAAGUGAUGUUGUUUAUUGAUAGUAAUGAGUAUGUAUAUUUAGAGGAGCACUCCGUCGGUUGCGACGAUGAGGGUCCCAGCUGAUACAAUCAACAGAACAGCUUACUCAUGAAAUUAACUUGCAAGUGACUGAGCACUCCACAAACACGUGUACCCUUAACGUAGUUCUUGGAGAGAAUCAGUGUGACACAGAGUGUGACAAGGCUGGCCUUUUGAAAUACAUGUACUACUCAUUUUUGCCAGCUGAGUGAACUGGGGCAACGUGAAAUAAAGUGUCUUGCUCAAGGACAGAAAGUGAUGCUGGGAAUUGAACUCACGACCUUGCGAUCAGGAGCCGAAUGCCUUAACCACUAAAUCACGUGCCUUCACACACACACACACACACACACACAUAUAUAUAUUAUAUAUUGAUCAUUCAUUUUUAUACUUUUUGAGAUCUAGUUAUAAGUUAUAUGUUUUAUAAAAAUAUAUAGUAUUUGUUAUAUUUAUAUUGGUUUAUGUCUAUCAAUGUUUGAGUCAUAUAAUAGUGGUUUUAUCUUUAAUUUAUAAUUCAUAUAUAUAUAUAUAUAUGUGUGUGUGUGUAGCUUGGAUGUAAUUUAAUGUGAUAUUCAAGGUUGUUUGAAGUUGAAUGAGUCUUUGGAAAAAGCAGUGAUGUUUCUUGUAGUGUAAAACAGAAAAUCACUUCCAUAACCAAUUGUGCCACUGAAGCAGUUACAUAAUACUUGCAUGCUAUUUACACCAUGUUCUGGUUAAAUAACACACAAGUAUUUAAAGAUAACAAGGGAUUGACAAAAUUGUUUACACUUUGCAAAAUAUGACUUAUAAUGCUUGAUUGAGAUCUUUAUGAUCUAAGUUCAAAUCCCGCCAGUAUAGAAUUGCCUUUUAUCCUUCUGAGAUUAAUAACCGAAAGUACCUGUCAAGUGCCAUUUUUACAGGUGAAAGCCAUCAUCAUCAUCAUCAUUUAACAUCUGCUUUGCUUUCCAUGCUGGCAUGGAUAAGAUUGUUUGAUAGGGAACAUGUGAGCACCAGGGCUGUGUCAGGCUCUAGUAUCACCUUUGGUAGGGUUUCAUUGGAGCUUGAUGCAGCCCGGCAAUUUGCUUCCAGUGGAGUGUAUUUAGGUGUUUGAGUAAUUAUCUAUUAACUUUACCUUGUUUCCAGGAUUGAACUGUGGCCAUGCUGGGGCAAUACUUUGAACGGUUCAAUCAAAUAAAUCAAUCCCAGUACUAAUUAUAUGUUUGGCAUUCAUUCUAUUUAUUCUCUUAUAAGGCAUUAGUCAGUGUGAGACUCAUCAUCAUCGUCAACAUCGUUUAGCCUCUACUUUCCAUGUUGGCAUGGGUUGGAGAGUUUGACUGGAGCCAGCCAGAAAACUAUACCAGGCUACUGUAUCUGACAAUAUUAACAAAACAAUUUCCCAAGGUGCUGCUCAGUAGGAUUGAACAUGGAACUAACUAGAUGUUAGCAAAAUGAACUUCCGAACUAUACAGCCAUAGUAGCACCUUUGUAAAAAAAAACAAAAAAACUUUAUAUAUUCUCCCCCCCAAAUUCCAUUUCAAACACAUGUCUCACUAUGAAAUUAAUGUGUAUUGCUCACCUGUCAGGUAGUAUUAGGUGAGACCUUGAACUGAAGAGAAAUUGAUUUGUUUCUUUUUGUUUUCAAAAAGGUGAGAAAGAAACUGAGGAAGUCUGAAGUAAAACGAAUAAAGAAUAGCUGUGUGGUUUGGAAGUUCACAUCAGCCACACGGAUUCAGGUUCCAUCCCAGUCAAUGACAUCUUGUGUAAGUGUCUUUUACAAUAGCCCUGGGUUGACCAAAUUUUGAGAAAGGAUUUGGUAGUUAGAAAACAAAGGACAAAACAUACAUACAUAUAAUGCAUGUAUGUGAACAUACACAGACGCAUAUGCAUGUGUCUGUGCAUGGCUGUUGCUAUGUGUGUCUGUAUCUCUCUGCCUUGAAAUUCAACAACAUUUAUAAAUGAGUGCUAUAACUAUACAAGCAGUGUUCUUUCAUUUCUGUGAAAAACCAUCUGUUUUCUGGGUGACAAUUACAUGGAAACAGGGGAGGGUUGCCAACAAGAAUACCAUAUGUUCUUAUAGAAUAUUUGGGUCAUAACUUGCUCAAAUAUUCUAUGUGUUUUAUGCUAAAACUAACCAGAUGCACCAUCUCACACCUACCCUACAAUAUCAUUUUAAGAAUAUGUAAUCACAUCAUUGAAACCUUGAAGCUAAGAGAUACUCUUUUACUUGUUUCAGUCAUUUGACUGCAGCCAUGCUGGAGCACUACCUUUAGUCAAUCAAACUGACCCCAGGAUUUAUUUUUUGUAAGCCAAGUACUUAUUCUAUCAGUCACUUUUGCAGAGCUACUAAGUUACAGGGACAUAAACACACCAGCAUUGGUUGUCAAGCUAUGUUGGGGGCACAAAUACAAACACAUAAACAUACACGCACACACACACAUAUAUAUAUAAAUAUACGACAGGUUUCUUUCAGUUUCCAUCUACCAAAUCCACUCACAAGGCUUUGGUCAGCCCGAGGCUAUUGUAGAAGACAUUUGCCCAAAGUACCACACAGUGGGACUGAACCCGGAACCAUGUGGUUGGUAAGCAUGCUACUUACUACACAGCCUUAAUUCAGAACAAUGUAAAUAAACAAUACACUUGGCAAAGAAAUCUGAAUACUAAAGGGUUAAUAAGUGAUUUGUGUGAAGAAAGUCCCCUUUGUUAGUUGGUUCCUGUUUGUCACUCAUUUAUUGGUUGCUGCUUCACAUUUCAAGGGAGACAACCAUCUUGCCAGGAAUUUUAUUUCUUGUUAGUGAUGUAAGUUUGAAGGAGUGAAGUACAUCACAUAUUUUUGAUAUUCAAAAUAAUUUCAUGCUUUUUUCUUUUUGUGUUGCAGUAAUAAAGUUUUUAAUAUCUAAUGUAUAGGAGUCACUAUUUCAAUACAACUGAAUCUUAUCAGUACGAAGUGGUUAAUAUCUUUUAGACAGUACUGCCAGUAUGCCAGUACCACCGCCAUUCUUUUAUUCUUUAUUCUUUUAUUUGCUUCAGUCAUUUGACUGUACUCAUGCUGGAGCACCACCGUUAGUUGAGCAAAUCGACGCCAGGACUUAUUUGUUGUAAGCCUAGUAUUUAUUCUAUCGGUAUCUUUCGCCAAACCGCUAACUUACGGGGACGUAAACACACCAGCAUCGGUUGUCAAGCAAAGCUGGGGAGAAAAAUACAGAUAUAGAAACAUACACACACACACACACACACACACACACACACACACACACAUAUAUAUUUAUAUGAUAGGCUUCUUUCAGUUUCCAUCUAUCAAAUCUAAUCACAAAGCUUUUGUCAACCCAAGGAUAUAGUGGAUAACACUUGCCCAAGGUGCCACACAGUGGGACUGAACCUGGAAUUGUGGUUGGUAAGCAAGCUGCUUACCACACAGCCACGCCUGUGCCAUUUAUUUGCACUACAAAAGAAAAAUCCAUUUUGGAAAAGAGAGAGCUGAGAGUGAUGUUUGGUAGAAACACUUGACUCCAAGAAACUAGUUUUCAAACAACAAACAAUUAGUGGCAGAUGGUCAUGUGAAUAUAGGUAGUAGCUUAAGGCAAAAUAUGAGUACUAUCCUGUACUUCAGUUAAUCCCAACAAAGUCUGGUUAAGCUUGUGGAUAUGAUAAAGUUACACAAUCCAAUUUACAACAUUAUGGAAAUAUAUAGAAGUAAGAAUACAUAAAUACAUACAAUAUAUAUAUAUAUAUAUAUAAAUAUAUUUGUAUGUAUGUAUGCAUGCACGUACAUAUGUAUGUAUGCAUAUACAUACAUAUAUUUAUGUGUAUGUAUGUUUGUAUAUGUAUGUACACAUGUAUAUAUUCAUGUAAUAUUUAUAUAUAUAUAUAUAUAUAUAUCAGAUUUUAUCAUAUAUAUUUAUGUGUGUGGGGGUGUAAACUUAAGUGUCUAUAUAUAUAUAUAUAUAUAUAUAUAUGCAUAUACACAUACGUAAAUUUACACUCACACACACACAUAAGUAUAUAUGAUAAAAUAUUGUAAAUAUCAAAGCAAGGAAGAUAUCAAAUAAAUGUAAAUAUAUUCUUAGGAAAUUUGUUUCUGAGUUCCUAAGUUGUGAUGAUGAUGAUGAUGAUGCUGAUAAUAAUAAUAAUAAUAAUAAUAAUAAUAAUGAUAAUAAUAAUAAUAAUAAUAAUAAUAAUAAUGAUAAUAAUAAUAAUAAUAAUAAUAAUAAUAAUAAUAAUAAUAAUGAUAAUAACAAUAAUAAUGGUGGUGGUAGUAGUAGUAGUAGUAGUAGUAGUAGUAGUAGUAGUAGUAGUAUCUAUUACCUCUGAGAAAAGGAAUGGCAAAUCGCCUUUGAAAUCAGCAAAGAAUUAGGAGCAGAUGUUAGCAAGAACAGACUUAGGUUGCGGAUGCAUUGCAGAGUGGAGUAGGUCAUGCUGAACUUGCUUUAGUUAAUCCCAAGAAAAUUCGGAUUAAGCAAAGAAAUGAUUGAAGAUGAAGGAAAAGAUGAGUAGAAAGAGAGCAAGACCAAGAGACAUGAGGAGAGAGAGAGAGAGAGGGGGGCGAGAGUGGUGGAUGAGACAGUGAUAGAGAUUGAUAGAAAGGGAGAGAUAAUGAGAGAGAGAGAGAGAGUAAGGGAGGGAGAGAGAGAGAGAGAAAAUGAGAUAGGCCUUAGCAGCAUGACCGUUUCUAAUCCAUGCCAGCAUGAAAAAUUGGUGAUUGCAUAAUGUAUCAUGAUACAGAUGUCAGAUAUGGAUAUUGGAUAUUAAGACAGUGUUGAAGUUGCUGUUGUUGCUGUUGUUGUUGGUGUUGGUUAUGGUAAAUUUAUUAUUAGUAAUGUUGUUGUUGUUGCUGUUGGUAGAGCUGUGGUGGUGGUAGCGGGGUUAAAGAUAUCAUUGGUAGUAAUGUUGAUACUAGUGUACAUAUAGAGAUAAUCGUAGUGGUGAUGAUGGUUGUGGUGGUGGUGUUGGUGGUGGUGGUGGUGGUAGUAGUAGUAGUAGUAGUAGUAGUAGUAGUAGUAGUAGUAGUAACAGCAAUAGCAGUGUUUAAGAUCGUCGUGUCGUUGGCGGUAUGACGGCUCACAUUAGAGGCCAGUAGAAUACUGACCCAGAUGAAAUAUCGUUUGUUAAUAAAAUUGAUGAGAAGAAGGCAAUGGAGUUCGGAAAUAAACAAGACGAAGACUGCACAAAUCAAAUUAUUCACAAACAUAAUAGUCUCACAUAUGAAUAGCAGUAAGUUCUAAAACCUCAACGAGAUGAAAUUAUCGAAGCAAUUACUGAACAAAAACUUCAUAUAGGAGUGUUUUAAAUGUAAAAUAAAUCAAGGAAGGGAUGUAACUCCUGUAUGAUCAGUUGAUUGCAUUAUUUGAGUAGUAUGAAGAAUAUAGACUAAAGUGUAUCUGACUUAUAAAGCCAACCGAUAACAACAACUGACAUGUUUCGAUUUUAUUAGAUCUCCUCAGUGAAAUAUAUUUUCAUUGGGCAUCGAAUUCAUUUGGCCCAGACUUUAAUUUCUUUUUGUGUCUUGUCUCGGGUAAGAUACAGUUUUCCUCGGUUCAUCUUCAAAUAUUUAUGUCAAUAUUUUUUUUUUGUUUUAGGGCCAUCUGCACUUAUUUUACAGGCAUUGCUAAUCUUUAAUGCUUCAUUUGUAAUCCUGUCCCAGCCCAUUAUUAAUAUCUGGCCAUUCCUUUUGAGGUGUUUGUGUUUUAUUUUAAGUAAAACAUGAAUGUAACUAGUUUAGUCGUUUAGCACCGACAUUGACAUUACGUCGGACCAGAAGAUGCAGGAAAUCUUUCUCAAGCACCCGAGGUGGAUUGCAUCGAUCAUAUUCCAGUUUCCCGUUACCGGUCAGCAGUAUUGUGAGCCAUUAAUUAGAACUUCUAUGAACGAUCGACACCAUUUCGUAUUGACCAUAAAAUAGCCGAUCUUAUUGAACGAUCUACUGACUUAUGAAAUGUAUGUGAGCUUAAAGAUGGCAGUUCUGAAGAAAUGUAAUAUCUACAAUGAAACAUUUCAAAAGCCUGCCCUUCUAUUCAGUACCUCUAAAUAUUUCAACUCUCAACAAAUGGUGACCAUCUACAAAUCUCAAAUGAGACCCCCAACAGAAUGUUACUCUCAGAGACAGCCUGAAUCCUAUUCUUAGUAGGAUUCACCGAACUAACUGGCACUCAAUCAUAGAUAGACGAGUUCCACCCUCUGUCUCCCCCUGCUUCUCUCUUUCUUCUAUUACCACAAUAACGGAGUUCAAUCAGUUGGUUCUUCUGUACUUUUACAAACCAAACAUUCUCGAUCAUCUCGUCUUCCUAGCUAUCAUCAUCCUUCUUGCGUCCAAUUUUCCCGGCUCUGCACUAUUCCCUACGUCCAUUCCUUAUUCCCUAAAACAUUGACCUUCUGCUAUUUCGCUUGCACGGGUUGACCUGUGACUAUGUAAAUGGAACAUAAACGAAAUCGAACACACCAAUUGCAAUUAGACUGCAAUUGUCAUGAACGCAGAACAAAUAUCUUCAGAUUCAGUAUGUAAAUAAGAAGCACUUGUUCAUCCAUAAACGAGCAGGAUGUUCAGCAUUACUUUUCCUCAUAUCAUAGAUUUAUUUUUUACAUCUUUACAUAAUCAAUAUUAUCAGACCUGGACUUAGUUAGCAAUCAGGUCCUUACUUUACAAGAGCAUAUAACAACAGACGUUGGAUACAACUAGGAUAUACCAUUUCAAAGCAUUCAUCUUUCACCACAUCAUCGGCUGGAUUUCUUGGUGCAUACCUCUGAAUGGCGGUAACCUUGCAGUGGUUUGAGCUCUGAAUAUCCACUGGCGAGGUGGCAGAAUCGUUAGCAUUCCGGGCGAAAUGCUUAGCAGUAUUUCGUCUGCCGCUACGUUCUGAGUUCAAAUUCCGCCGAGGUCGACUUUGCCUUUCAUCCUUUCGGGGUCGAUAAAUUAAGUACCAGUUACGCACUGGGGUCGAUGUAAUCGACUUAAUCCGUUUGUCUGUCCCUGUUUGUCCUCUCUGUGUUUAGCCCCUUGUGGGUAGUAAAGAAAUAGAAUAUCCACUGAACGGGUCCCAUCUUAACAAUCUGCUAACCUUGUCUUUUGCAAUUACCAAAGCUACACUUUUGAUAUCGAACUUCUAGCGUACGGAUUACAGAAUAGUCGAACAAUAAUUUGUGCUUUGGUGACCAGAUACAGCCUAACAACAGCAAUGUCCAGGUGAUAGCUUCUCUUUCCUCUCAAGCAAUUUUGAUAUUUCACGAAUGGUAAAUUCUAAGCUCAACAUCAGUCCAAAACAUCGGGUUCGAGUAGACUAUCGUUCCUGUCAGUGUGCCUGCCUCUCUGUCUGUUUUUCUCUCUCUCUCUCUCUCUCUCUCUCUCUCUCUCUCUCUCUCUCUCUCUCUCUCUCUCUCUCUCUCUUUCACUAUGUAUAUAUGUGUGUCUGUGUGUUUGCGCGCGCCGGUAAUAUAGUUGUAGAUAUAUACGUUGCUAUGUGUGUGCGUGUUUAAUUUUAUAUAUAUAUAUAUAUAUAUAUAUAUAUAUAUAUAUAUACAUACACACACACACAAAUAUAUAGCUAGAUAGAUAGACAGAUAGGCAGGCAGGCAGGCAGACAGGCAGGCAGGCAGGCAGACAGGCAGGCAGGCAGGCAGGCAGGCAAGCAGAUUGAUAGAUAGACAGACAGACAGACUGAUAAAUAGAUAUGAAAUAUGUGUGUGUAUGAGUGUACGUAUAAAACACGCACAUAUAUAAAUGCAAUUUAAAAUACAAGGGAAUGAUUAAUAUUGAUUUAUUGGAGCGUGAAAAGAGUAAGACUCAUCGGGUUCUGUACAUUAUCAACAGUAAAGAAUUUACAACGGUGUAGGUGCCGCCCGUGGGAGGUUAAUUGGUACACAACAUAUCUACAGCUUGAGGUAUGCAAGGAUUCUCAAAAGUUGUAUUCAGAUUUUGACAUUUCCAUCUGUUUCCACAGAGCCAGUGCUGGCAAAGGGGAAACCAGAAUUGAAGAUGAUGAUGAUGAUGAUGAUGAUGAUGGCGAUGGUGGUGGUUAUGGUGUUGUUGUUGUUGCUGCUGAAGACGAUGAUGAUGAUGAUGAUGGUGUUCGUCGUUCUGGUAUUUGUAGGAGUGAUGGCAGUAUUCUUGGUUUGGUGGUGAUAGAUAUUAUUUUAUGAUAAAUUAUUUAUAUGUUUAUUUAUUUUAAUGACGAAGAUAAGGAAUAUAUAUAUAUAUAUAUAUAUAUAUAUAUAUAUAAUUUAUAUAAACUAAUUUGGAAAUGGAUGCGUGGCGUUCAAACGUAUAAUGAUAUAAAUAAUAUAUAUAUAUAUGUAUGUACAAAAAAAAUGUAUAUAUAUGUAUGUAUGUAUAUGUAUAUAUAUGUAUAUAUAUACAUAUAUGUACGUAUUUACACACACACACACACACACACAUAUAUAUAUAUAUAUAUAUAUAUAUAUAUAUAUAUAUAUAUAUAUAUAUAUAUAUAUAUAUAUAUAUAUAUUGAUAAAAAUGGUAAGACAACAAAAGAAUGAAAGAGACCUCGAUAUUAUCUAAAUAGAGGAAUUUAUAUGUAAAAGUAAUAUGUGACAUAUCUGUAAAAGUGAUAUGUGACAAUUAUUCGGUAGCCAUGAUAUAACUCCGAGUUUCGUAUGCCGAGGUGGAAAUUUCAUACCAUUUUUUCCGAUGGCCGGAUAACUGAAGAGAUGGCGGCGUGGAUUUCCACCUCGGCAUACGAAACUCGGAGUUUUAUCAUGGCUACCGAAUAAUUGUCACAUAUCACUUCUACAGAUAUAUGUAUAUAUAUAUAUAUAUAUAUAUAUAUAUAUAUAUAUAUAUAUAUAUAUAUAUAUAUAUAUAACACGCGGGCCUACAGUGAGAUUUAGCACAUUCUAUGCAGGGACGUUGGAAGACAUGUUUGGGCGCCAAUAUUCUCAGGAAAAAUUUCUACUCAUGCUCUUUAUACUCAAUAUGUCUGUAAACACAUUAGUCUAUGAAUGACCCAGUCAGAUCGUAAAAUGUCUCUGGUUUUGCGUUGUUUUAUGUUGAGAAUACAACAUAUAUAUAUCAUAUCAUAUCAUAUGUAUGUAUGUAUGUAUGUAUGUAUGUAUGUAUGUAUGUAUGUAUGUAUGUAUGUAUGCAUGCAUGCAUGCAUGCAUGCACAUGUAGCUAAUGCAUUUAUGCAUGUACAGAUAAAUACAGCAAGUCCUCCUUCAGUCAUGUCUGACCAUGGGAUUGCACAUAGAAAGUUACCCUUCCACGCACAUGUCCGAGCAAGGCUGUCUAUGGAAGACCAACAGUCGCUCAUGCAUACCAGGCUCCCAUAUCUAUGAUGCCGAUCUUAUUCAAGGGAAAGGCUAAGGCCCAUACAGCUUCACACCAGUGACACCUCAUUUCUACAGACGAAUGAACUGGAGCAACAUGAAAAAAGACGUCUUACUCAAGAAUAGGACGGGUAUCGAACUCACUAUGUCAUGAUUGUGUGCCCGAAACUCUAACCACUGAGACAUGCGCCUUCAUAUUAAUACCUCACUGAAUAUAAAAUUCAAAGCAUGCUCAAUAAGAGUGAUUAAUAUACAUUUAUACAUUCAUAUGUAUACAUCCGCACACACAUACGUACGUAACUAUAAACAUAUAUAUAUAUAUAUAUAUACAUAUAUUAUCUAUAUAUUAUAUAUAUAUAUAUAUAUAUAUAUAUAUAUAUAUAUAUAUAUAUAUAUAUAUAUAUAUAUAUAUAUAUAUAUAUAUAUAUAUAUAUAUAUAUAUAUAUAUAUAUAUAUAUAUAUAUAUAUAUAUACCUAUAUACACACCUCAUAUGCAUACGUAUAUACAUACGUACGGGCAUACAUAUAUGUAGUCUUACACACGUACACGUUCUGUUAUUCUUUACAUGAAGAUAAAAAUCGUAAAUAUGUCAGCAUUAUUUCAGUAUUAUCACAUAAUUACAUGAAAUGCAAGAACUAGCAGGAGGAGCUACAUCAAUCAAAUAUGACAUUUUCUGCUCCACUUAAUAUCCUAUCUUUUGCUUACACGAUCGCGACUGGCCAAAUUUUUUGUUUCCGUUUUCUGUUGCUUUUAUUCCCCGCAGUUUUGUAGUUGUUGUUAUGUAGAAAUGCAUAUUGUCUUUGAGUUCUUUGAAUUAAUGCCAAAAAAAAAAAUGCUUAACCAAUUCCAUGUCAUCUAUCAAAUGCAGUUGUUGAACAUAAAUUUUUGCAAUAAAUUUGACAUCCACUCUGUAUGUGCCUCUCUCUCUCUCUCUCUCUCUCUCUCCUUCUAUUCCUUUAUUUUCUCUCUCACCUCUCAUACUUUCUUCUUCAUCUUUCACUUUUGUUUUUCUUUUAUCGCAUCUUCGUAUCUCUUCCUUCGUCUUCUUGUUGUUGUUGUUGCUUUUCUUCGUAUCUUUUUCUUCUUCGUUUUCUUGUUGUUGUUGUUGUUGCUCUUCUUCUUCUUCUUCUUCUUCUUCUUCUUCUUCUUCUUCAUAUCUUUUUUCUUCUUCGUCUUCUUCUUCGUCGUCUUCUUCUUCUUCUUCUUCUUCUUCUUCUUCUUCUUUCUUCUUCAUAUUUCUUUCUUCGUUUUCUUGUUGUUGCUGUUGCUCUUCUUCGUAUAUUUUUCUGUUUUCUUGUUGUUGUUGUUGUUCUUCUUUUUCUUCGUACCUUUUUCUUCUUCGUCUUCUUGUUGUUAUUGCUCUUCUCUGUUCUCCUCCUUGUUUUUCUUCUUCAUUCUCUUCUUCUUUGUCUUCUUCGCGCAACACACACACACACACACACACACACACACACACACACAUUCAUACAUUUGAAUUCAGCAAAGCAAGUGAAAAUUUAAACAAACUUAAAUCUUUAAAUAUACAUGAAAAAAAUCGAAAUAAAGAAAAAAAAACAUAACUAUCAUCUACAUCAAGAAAAUUAAUUUUAAAUGAUUAUAGUUCCUUACAGUUCAAAAGAUUAAGAUAAGUGAAAAAUGAAUAAUUAAUUCUCAAAAUGUAUUCCACUUUAGAUUUAAAGUGAUUUUCUCUUUUGUUAAAAUAAUUCAAUCAGGGAAGUAAAGCCGCCAUGAAAAUGACAAGUUACAAACAUAUGUUUAAUGAAAUAAUGUUUAUAUACAUAAUAUUAAAGUUCAAUCAAUAACAGAGAUUCCAUGAGAAAAUAUUGAAGUGUUUGACUUUAUAGUUUGUAUUACACGAAUAAUUAAGAUGUUGAACUUUCAGAUAAAAAUGCAGGGUGUAUAAGAAUUUUUGAUUAGCAAAAGCAUGGUUUCGUAUUCAAUCCAUGUAUUAUCUAGAGUCCUUCCUUUAUCCAAAGGGGUGUGAAUUGGGCUUUUAUUUCUUACCCACAAGGGGAUAAACAUAGAGGGGACAAACAAGGACAGACAUAGAUAUUAAGUCGAUUACAUCGACCCCAGUGCGUAAAAGGUACCUAAUUUAUCGACCCCGAAAAGCAAAGUCGAUCUCGGCGGAAUUUGAACUCACAGCGUAACGAAAUACGACUACGCAUUUCACCCGGCGUGCUAACGUUUCUGCCAGCUCGCCACCGAUUGUUAAACCACAUAGCAGAAUUCUUAGUUCCUUUUAUAGCUAAUAAGGCAUUGUGAAUUUUGGGAGCAAAUAUUACAUUGAGAGGUUUUUAAACAAUAAAAUCGAAUCCGGUACUUGAAAGUAUUUUAUGAUCAGUAGAGGAAUGGAAGGUAACGUCAACAUUAACCGGAUUUGAGCAUAAAAUGUAAAGAGGCGUAGUUAAAUACCGCAAAGAUAUUUUUUCUAAAUUUAUAGUGCAUGUUUAUACAUGUAUCAGCAAAAUUAGCUUCUAAACCUAUCGCAUUAUUCAUUAACUUGAAGUAAAUGUAAUGUAAUAAUCAAUUAGCAAAAUUUAGAGAUUAAUAAUCUUACAAACGCUUUAAAAUAGAUGAUAUUCUACCAUGGGUACUACUUCACAAAUGUCGCAAUAAAAGCAGCCGCCUCAUUUUCCAGGUAAUAUCUAGCAGUUAUGAUUUUAUGAAAUACUGUUUGAAGGUAACUGGAUACAUUAAUUUGUGUUCGGAGCUAAAAAAGAUUCUAUGAAGUUUCAAGUACAAAUCUAGCUGUAAGAUUUGUACUUAUAAAACAAAAUUACCGAAGAGAGGAAAACAAGCUCUGUAGGCCUAAUCUUGCAAAGUAAAUAGUUUUAUAUUUCUUUACUGCCCACAAGGGGCUAAACACAGAGGGGACAAACAGGGACAGACAAAGGGAUUAAGUCGAUUACAUCGACCCCAGUGCGACACUGGUACUUUAUUUAUCGACCCCGAAAGGAUGAAAGGCAAAGUCGACCUCGGCGGAAUUUGAACUCAGAACGUAACGGCAGACGAAAUACCGCUAAGCAUUUCGCCCGGCGCGCUAACGUUUCUGCCAGCUCGCCAUAGUUAUAUACUGCUUUCUUGAAGAGGCAUAUCUCAAUUAACAUUAAGUAUUAAGCAUGAUGGGAAUUUCGAGUAACAUGUAUCUCUUCUAUCUAUUUUAAGCUCUUGGGUCUAUUGGCUAUUGAUAAUCUCAACAUAAGAAAGGGCAGUGAAUAUUGACACGGCAUGAACAGACUUAAAAAAAGGAUACUGGAGAAAGCUACUCACAAAAGUUAGCACCAUUGUGAGAUGCUGUGAUGCAUAAUAAUAUACAAGGGCCUUUCAUUACUUAACCAAGUUUCAGACAACUGUGCGUUCUUAUAUAUUUACCAUUACUUUCAAUUACUAUUGUAAAUAACGAAGAGAUUUGUUAUUGCAAAUUUCCGAUUCCACAUUCGUAAAGUAAAUAACAUUUGUUUCUUAUAUGACAAGAGUUUUCUGCCUUUCUAGUAUCUGUCAUUUAGAUAAUAGGAUUUUGUUUUUCAUUGUUAUUCUGAUCUACUUAAUUUACAGUGGACAGCUUCUUAAGAUAUGCACUUAAUUUCGUGUUCUGUUUCAAGGAAAAUGCUAGAUUUUUCUGGAUAAUGUAAUACCGUUCCAGUGUGAAGUUAAAUCUAUUAUCCUAAUAACUGUGCAAUACAAAACGAAGAAAACAUUCAAGUCGCUGAAACGUCAAUUAAAACCAUACUAGAUUAGAGUCCCAAUAAUCAUAUCUGAGUUCUUGAGUCAGUAGGCUUUCGUAUCGAUGAAGUCUAUCUCUCAGAUCCGUUAUUGUCUCGAUGAGGAGCAAUAGCGGAUCUGAGAGGUAUGUCUUCCGUUUGCUAGUGUGUUAAAUAGCAACACGCUAGCACACGGAAGACAUACUAUAUUCCAUGAUCACAAUCAAGUUAAGCGAAGUCAGACACCGAUUGGCAUCAAAGAAAGUUUACUUUCAGAACUGGGUGUAGAGCAUAAUGUCUGACAGCAGAACUUCUGCUGGAAAUUAGCAAGGCCAGCCGAACAAGAUGCUGUUGGGUGUCAGGAGUUGGGUUCUCUUUACUGUGGUUUUUAGACAUUCUUUAAAGAAGUAGCCUGAUGGAUAGUCACAGAUUCUUCUUAAGUAUUCUGGUGAUGCAGACCUGCCUGGAGUGCAAGAGUUGUUGAAAUUUUUAUUAAAAGUUUCUGAAGAACUAGCCUGCUUGGAAAUUUUUCUUAUCGUGGAAAAGUAUAGAGUGAAUGUCUUAAUCUAGCUUUUGCAAUAUUCUCCUUAGGUUUUGUUUAUAAAGAUUGUUCAACGAUGCUAUUUAUUGAUUUAAAAAAAAAUUAAUUGCUAAACUAAUCAAAAUAGAAAUUGUAAAUCAUGCAAACAAUGGUGUCUGAGUGUAGCUUAAACCGUAGGUUAUACAUACAUGCAUGCAUGCAUACAUACAUACAUACAUACAUACAUACAUACAUACAUACAUACAUACAUACAUACAUACAUACAUACAUACAUACAUACACGCACAAACACACAAACACACACACACACACACGAGUUAAGAUCUUGUACAAAUACACAGAAGAGAAUGCUUGCAGCAGAAUGCCAUCACAUGACCCUGCUCCACGAGCGCAUUAUCUUUACCUGCUUUGAUCGUGUCAAAUCAUACUAAUAAUAUAACAUGCCUUUUGUAUAUGUGCCUUGCAGACAAACUAACGAAAGCAGAAGCCACUUGAAUAUUUUAUAGCCAGCCACUAGAUAAGCAAAUACAGUCUGUAAAAUAAAUACAAUUAUACAAAUAGACAAAUAUGCAGAAGAAUAGCCCGUCAGCCAUUUUGAAAACUUGCUCAGACGCAAAUAAUAAUAGACCGAUAAAGAAACUCCAUGGCAGUUGUUUACAUUAAGAUCCCUUUAAGAAUGACUCUGAUUUUUAUCAUUAUAGUGGUCUAUAACAAGCAUUGAUUUUUUUCUUCUUAUAAUCUGACAGCCAAGUAACUUUGUAUAAAUCUGUCGAAGUCAGUUUAUCAGCAUAGUACAUAGUGGUCAUUUGCUAAAUGUGAUAUUAGUGAAACAACUGAUUAGAUAAGUAAACAGACGAAUUUAUUCAUUUCACUUUGAGGGCUGUCUCAUUGUUCUGGCUACAGUGGCGACAGCCGUCGAGUAAGUAGAAUGAAAUCGUUCAUUCGUCAAGAUCAACUGACUCUAAGCAUUGUAAGUUUGUUUGAGUUGAGUUCACAUUAAUUACAUCUCUCCUUCACCCGGGGAAAUGCAUGAUGAUCACAACAUUUUAUUUCUUCAUUCAUGAAAUCAUGGCCUAUUACCCAACAAACAAACAAAUAUUUAUUGUUCACUCACACGUAAAUACACCUGCAUUUUAUAUGCAUAAAUGUUAAUACGCAUGACUCGCGUCUUUGAUACGCUUGUUUGGCUUUUAAAUUUUAAAUUAUAAAACGUUUAAAUACUGCUUUUAACAAUGGAAAAUAAGAGAGAGGAUCCUUCGAUGACAAUGUCAGAAUAAGAUGAAAGCAUGUACGCUGUUUUUCAUUGAAUUUUUGUGUCGUAUUUAAUUUUAACGCUCUAAAUAGCAUAUGAAUUACCCAUGUUCAAUCUAGCAACAUCCUAGCACGAAAGUAUUAAUGAACGUCUCAUAUUCUCCAAGCUGGUCUUUCCUUUUUUUAACAUGUUUGAAGUUUGUUAGCCCUUAUUAUAUAUCUUUCUUCCUCACUACUUCUAACUCAAGUCCCCAUCGAAUCCCACCCCCAGCGCUUUUGAAUCUCUUACCUAUCUUUUUCAAAUGUGCAAGCAUUCUUUUUGAUAAUCUUUUUUUAUUGCCCAGAAGGGGAUAAACAUAGAGGGGACAAAUAAGGACAGACAAAGGGAUUAAGUUGAUAGCAUCAACCCCAGUGCGUAACUGGUGCUUAUUUAAUCGACGCCGAAAGAAUGAAAGGCAAAGUCGACCUCGGCGGAAUUUGAACUCAGAAGGUUGCGAGAGACGAAAUACCAUUAUGCAUUUCGCCUGGCGUGCUAACGAUUCUGCCAGCUCACCGCCCUAAUUUAAUCGUCACACAAUCGUUCCCGCCAACAUUCCUUGACGUUUUUUUUUCUAAUUUCUAGGUUUUUUACUGCUUGUAUUCCUUUUCUUGUUUUUGAUCCAUGAAUAAGACUUAUGUCCUUUGACAUGUACCACUUUAUGAUUUCUAUUUCUCACUGAUCUUUCAUUUUGUUCUUAUUCUCUCCUUCGUAUUCAGUCUUAGUAUUCUGUGCCACCAGACCAACAGAACACGCGUACAUACACACACACAGUUAGGCUAAAGCUUACAAAAGAUGUUUGUUCAGAUCUCACGGGUAGCAAUCAUCUUUUUCUAUCCAAAGGCUGUUUUAAUGCGAUAUUUACGCUCAAUUGUCUUUAGCUUUAUUCGCUUCGAGUUUUACCGCCACCAAUAAGAAUUAUAUAUAUAUAUAUAUAUAUAUAUAUAUAUAUAUAUAUAUAUAUAUAUAUAUAUAUAUAUAUAUAUAUAUAUAUAUAUACGAUGGUUAUGUGAUCAACCAGACUAUCAGAUGUUGUUAUACAUUGCUGGUUACAAUGCACUUCCGUUGCAGUGUUAACCAUUUACUGCUGAGUGGAGUGGAGCAAUGUGAAAUGAAAUAUUUUGCUCAAAAUCAAAACCCUUUGCUUGGUCUGCGAAUAGAACCCACCUUCCCUAGAUCAUGAGUGCGACAACCGAACUACUUGGCUAAGUCUCUCUCUCUCUCACACUCUCUCUGCCUUGCUAUAUAUAUAUAUAUAUAUAUAUAUAUAUAUAUAUAUAUAUAUAUAUACAUAUAUAUAUAUAUACACAUGUGUAUGUAUGUAUGAAUGUAUGUAUGUAUGUAUGUAUGCAUGCAUGUAUGUAUGUAUGUAUGUAUGUAUGUAUGUAUGUAUGUAUGUAUGUAUGUAUGUAUGUAUGUAUGCAUGCAUGCAUGCAUGUAUGUAUGUAUGUAUGUAUGUAUGUAUGUAUGUAUGUAUGUAUCGCUCUGUUCUUCUCUGGUUUUCCUCCUUGGCUCCCUGAAAUUUUACGUCUGAAAGCUAAGACAUUUUCUCUUCUUCACAGCAAGCCGAUAUUUUAUAUUUUGCAACAUUUGUUCCGGUUCUCUACGAUCGACUCUACAUUUCAGCCAUCUGGGACCGAUUAGAUAAAGAACAAGUGAAGUACUUCAGUGGAUCCUAGUAGUAGUAGUAGUAGUAGUAGUAGUGGUGGUAGUAGUUCUUCUUUUUCGUCAUCAUCACACCCUACAGUCUUAAAUAGAAGUAUCGUAGUCUUAAUAACCUCCACCGGUUAUUAACGCAUCAGUGGCCAACUUAGUAAGCCACUAGUCUUUUGAAACAAUUCGAGAAGCACGUCUAAGACUAACGCAUAUGAUUGACUUUUUUAGAGACAAAACAAUAAUUCCUGAUGACACUUCAGCUGUAACACAUUCCAUAUUCUCGUUUUCAUUCGUUUGUGGUGACGGCAGUGGUGGUGACACCAGUGGUGCCAAAUCUGACGUGUCGGCUUCGGUUACUUGGUCAUUUAACCUAAUACUAAUUCUCAGAUAGAAACAGAAUGACAGAAUAUGUGAAAAAAGCUAAAGGCUUCCAUUAUGAUCAUAAUCCAUUUGCCGGGUUAGGGUUAAGGUUACCGACUACUGCAGAAAAGUAGCAAGAGUGGGGUCAAAAACAGGUGAAAUUAUUCUGUAGCUUAUCAUACCUGUUAAUCAAAGUGGGAUCAUCAAAAGUAUCUUAACUUCGAAGUACUGAGAACCCUUGUUACAAUGCUGUGUCUUCCCGGGUUUGACUUGCAAAGGAUGAUUACAAACGGAUUACGUUGGACUUAACUUCCACUGUAUCAGAUUUGAUUUGGGUUUAUACAACAGUGCGGACGUGUGGUGGAAUGGUUUGUGUGUAGGGCUCAAAACCGUUAAGUCGUAGGUUUGAUUCUUGAACGGAGUGCUUGUUGUGUUUAUGAGUACUUACUCCUUAAACUCUUCUCUCUCUAUGCAGUAUAGGCCCUCGACGAUUUUCCUCCGCUGCUCUCAACUAUGGGUAGUAUCUUCUGCUUCUUGAUCCCUGCAUUUUCAGCUCUCACUCAAUACCCCGUUUCCCAUUGAUUUUAGGGCAUGCUCCCUUCGGCCUUCCUUAUGGGUUCUAGGAACUGAUCCCCUUAAGGAUGAUGGCUUCCUUAAGGUCCAGCCCUUUAAAUCACACUUGCACUUCAUAUCUCUCAUGUUUCUCUUAGGAAGAAAUAUUCUUCCUCUUUGUAGUGUAUCUAUGGGUGAGUCACUUCAUUUCACGUUCUUUCACUCCACUCAGCUGAAAAUGAGCAUCAAUGAUAGCUGAAAAUAGAAGGUUACCGCUGCGGUGGUCUGGCAUCCUGUUGAGCGUAGAAGAGUAAGCCGUGUACUCCUUUAUAUUCUCAGCUCGUUAAACGCAAGGAAAGUUAAUUCCCGGCCUAAUGGACGGACCAGUAGUUUUCUAAACAACAGACAUAACAAUAACAACAAAAAACAACCGUAAUAGCAAGUCAACCAUAGAGACUGAAGUCGAAGAAGAACAUCAACAACAACAACAGCAGCAGCAGUCUCUGACUUCCUACGCAACCGCUGAGCCUGGAUGCGCAUUCAUCCAUCCGUCGAUGCUCUCGGUGUCGGGGGUCGACCUGCUUUCUCUUCUGCGGGUCUUACGAAUAGCUAAGGACCACGUUUCGGACUUCUCCUGAGGCGCGAUCUUGUGAGCUCUGGGAAGAAGACCGCUUCGCUCAACAAACAAAGCAGCAGCAAUAGCAGCAGCAACAGCAGCAGCAAAAGCCAAUCAAAAUCAAGAGGUUGGUGUAUGUUACGGUUGAAGUGUCAUUAAUAAAAUGCUGUUUUGUCUCUACUAAAGUCAAUGAUAUGCAUAUGUGUCAAGCUUGUCAGUCUCUCAACUUCUUUCAAACACAAGUCGAUCAACAAGUCUGCUAAGAUAUUUCAUUGCUAUAGCAUAUAUUAUAAACAUUCUGUGAAAACAUUAAUGCUAUUUUAUUUUAUUCUUGUUUUUUUUUCUUUUUAAUGUUUUUUGUGUUCUCUUCAAGGUCUUCUUUUGUUUCAAUCGAAAUAUCGACUAGACACAUCAGGUCGACACAUUACCAUUAGUAGCAAGAAGUUGAAAUGGACUGACUCAAAUAACCAGUGUUGGAGGCUAUACAUCACUUUGCUUUAACGCAAUGAAAAUUUUAGCAAAUAAUGAUAUGAACUUUCGAUAUGGCUGUGAGUUACACAACAAUUCAGUUACACAUACAUACAUGCAUUCAUUUCGUACAUACAUAUAUACAUACAUGCAUACGUACGUACAUUCAAAUACACACACGCAACUACUGGAUCGCACAUACAUAAGUAUUUCAGCAAACAUGGAAAAACAGAUAUAUUGGGAAAAUGAACUAUAUACACACACAUGCACACACACACGCACACACAUAGAUGUAUAGAUGUAUGUAAGUAUGCAUAUGAGAGUGUGCGUGUUUAACGAAUUUUUCAGGCGAAAGAAAAUAUAUUUUGCUGUAGCACACCUAUUGAUUGAGAUUUGUUAUAUAUAUAUAUUUAUAAAUGAAUAUCUAUCUAUCUAUCUAUCUAUCUAUCUAUCUAUCUAUCUAUCUAUCUAUCUAUCUAUCUAUCUAUCUAUCUAUAUAUAUAUAUAUAUAUAUAUAUAAUGCAUAUGUAUGUGUGUAUAUAUAUAAAUAUAUAUGUGUACUAUGUUACAUAUAUGGCGGGUUUUACAAACAUGAGAAACAGAACUCAAAAUAUAAAGCAAAGCGUAUAUAUACACAUAUACACUAACACACACACACACACACACACACACACACACACACACACACACACACACACACACACACAUCGGAAUCGUGUAAAACCCAGUUGACAGGUAUUUAACAAGCGUCGUAUUUGAAAACAAAUAGGAUUCUCAAAUAAAAUCUUUGAUAUCUGUCACAUUGAUCACCUCCAAUGUUCUGCUUUGACCUUCAACAAUAUAAAACAAUGCAUAACAUCAGCCCUACGGGACGCAUUUAAUGAAUUCAACUCGUUUAGCUAGUAAUUCGGACAGCUCUUUAUUUUAAGGGUAACUUUCUCUCUUGCUGUCUUCUUUUAGGGCCCCACCGCCCCCAAAAAGGUCAAGGUUCCGUUUUAUUAAUAGUGAUGGACACAAAGAUAUAUUUUUGCAAUUCUUCAUUGAAACAGGGAUUAAGUUAAAUUACUGAUUGUGUGCGCACGCGUGUAUAUGUGUGUGUGUGUGCCUGGUUUGCGUAUGUAUGCUUGUGUGUAUGUAUAUUAAUGUUUGUUAAAGGCGGCGAGCUGGCAGAAUCGUUAGCACGCCGGGCGAAAUGCUUCGCAGUAUUUCGUCUGCCGCUACGUUCUGAGUUCAAAUUCCGCCGAGGUCGACUUUGCCUUUCAUCCUUUCGGGCAUCGAUAAAUAAAGUACCAGUUUCGCACUGGAGUCGAUGUAAUCGACUUAAUCCCUUUGUCUGUCUUUGCUUGUCCCCUCUAUGUUUAGCCCCCUGUGGGUAGUAAAGAAAUAUAUAUAUAUAUUAAUGUUUAUUGGUUUAUUUUUGCUUUUAAUCUAUAAAAACAAUUUAACAUUAAACUGAAACAUUAAUUCUACGUAUAAAUCUUUACAAUGACUUCGAAGAAUCAGCUUGCUCUCCACUGUCUUUAAUCUUCUCUCUAGAAUAAGAGUUUAUCUCUUUGUUUUAAUAAUCUUACUAUGUAUGUUACAGUCAUUGACAAGCUGUGGCAAUUAUACUGGUUCUGUUUUUCUUUUCUAGUCAUUUCUUUUAAUUACUUUAGUAGGUAUAUCAUUUAUAUUAAAUUGCUUUGUAAUGUCUGGUGAGUUCAUUUCAUUUUGAAAUUGUUUCCAUGUAUUAAUUUUCAUUUCCAGAUAACUCGACUUUGUCGACAUUUGAAACUUUAUUAUUCAACCUCGGUAAUAUUUAACAAACUAUAAAAUAAAUAAAUCUAGCUCAAGUGUUAUUUUAGGGCAGUGGUUCUCAACUGGGGUCCAUAUGCUGCUCGGGCGUCCAUUUAUCAAGGAUCCAUUAUAUUGAUUAUAAAGAACACCCUCGGGAGUCCAUUUAAGGAUAACUUGCGAUGGGAUUUUGUUGUUAAAGUUUAUGCGCAAUAAACAAAAUACAAAAUAUUUUAACAACUUUCUUACAUAAUUCCUAAUAAUAUUUAAUUGUAAAAAUACAAGAUCUUUUUAAACAUCAGAUGUCUAUGAGCGUCUAGUAGAGUAAAAUAAGAAUGAAAGAGACUUAGAGGCAGAAAAAUGGUUGAAAACCACUGGUUUUCCUUACUAUUGAAGUGAAAUGAAAGUAAAUUGAAAAGAAAAUUUGAAACGUAAAACCGAAGUGCUAACAGCUUAGUGGUAUUUCAGCAGAUAUGUUUCUUUAUUAGCCACACAGGGCUGAACCCAGAGGGGCCAAAUUACAAAGUAGAGCUAUUCUUUUUGGUGAGAAGAAAAGGGGGCGGUUAGGUUUUCGAUCAAAAGGGAUCGUAAAAAAAGAAAGAAAAAAGAAAAAAACAUCACUAGGGAUCAGGUAUCACAGAAAUGUCUUGCCCAUGCCUGAUCAAUGUCCUUCAUCCUACACAUUGUUAAACGUACAGCUCAAUUUCCCUUGAUUAUAUUUCAGGUAAUGCUCUCAGAAUAACACGCAAAAUGCUUGCUGUUAAGGGGUACCCAUACUUGAUUAUUAGAUUCUUCAGUUCUAAUCUUUGUUAAAGCAGUACAGCUUGAUAACACUUACAGGUUAAUUUCACAUUUUAAUAUAAUACUUUUGUUAUAUAUUAUUUUAGAUUUCUGAUGUCAAAGUUACGAAUUAUUUGUUUCUAAGUAAAGACUAAAAUCAUCAGACCUAGAAUGGCGUUAAGUUAAUCUCUUUAGAUGAAAAGAAGUUAUAAAGACUGACUGAGAUCCAAGAGAGCAUAAUUGCUGCUAUUCCGUGUUCAAAGUGGAAAACGAAAUGGAAUGAAACGAAAUAGAUGCGAAUGAAACGGAACGAAUUACAAGGAAUGAGACUGUGGUCAUGAAUGAAUACCGUGUAAUUGAAUACAAUUAGAGUGGUAAAUUCGGUGGAGAUUAUGGGAAGCAAUAACAUUAAUAUCUGUUUUGAGUUUCGCUGUCAAAUCUGUAUCAUACCAGCCGCGUAUGCAUAUUUUAUUUUUCACCAAAAUAUUAUCUGAUCAUUUAUUAUUACACAUAAUGGGAGCAUUGAGUAGCAAAUCAAUAGCCUCUAUUGAUCCAUCCUGUCUCUGUCUCUCUCUCUCUCUCACACACACUCUCACUCUCAUUCUCUUUCAGAAUUUCCUACCCACUCUCUUCCUUCUUUUUUUCUUUUACAUUAUAUAUUUAUUUAUGCCUUUCUUUUGCAAUAACACAAUCUAUUUACCCGAUCAUUUGACUGGUCGAUGUCAAACGGCUUAACUUACAAUUUAUUUGUCUUAUGAAGCACUCAACCAAUUCCAAUAAGUAUAUGUGACAUCCUCUUCUUCUACCACAGCUCCCACCCCAUACACGCGAUGUCACAUACUUUUUGUUACGCUCUGGCGUUGUCGUUGUCCUUAUAAUUUAUCUAAUCUAGUUUUAUACAAGACAUUUAAUCCUACAGUGUUUGUUUCUCGUCAUUAAUAAAUAAUAGUCGACGUUUCCACGACAUCAUCGUAUUAAUUUUUUUGGUCAAUUAUUCUCCUACUUGUUUCAGUCAUUCGAUUUCGACCACGCUGGGGCACCGCCUUCAUAAGUUUAGUCGAACAAAUUCGCUCUAAGCUUUAAUUUGUUUUGGAAGUCUGGCAACAAUUCUGUCAUUUGUCUUUGCUGAACUGCUAUGUUACGGAAAUGUAAACCAGCCAACAGCGCUUCUCAAGCAGAAGGGAUACAAAUGUAACUUCUCCGUAUGUAUGUAAGGAGAGGCUGCUCUUAUUUCUAGCAAUGUAGGUGUUCAAACACCCUAAUCAUAUUUAGCGAUUAUUAUAGUUUUCCUUUUUGGUAAUACAAAGCACACAGCUGUCUAUACUAAUUUUACAUAUAUAUAUAUAUAUAUAUAUAUAUAUAUAUAGAAUAGUUGUAUACUGUCAAUCUAUCGCCCCACCACCGUACAUGUCUCUACGAGAGAUUUAGAAAUUUAGUUUUUCUGAUAUAUAUAUAUAGAUAUCUUUAUAUGUAUGUAUCGUGUGUGUACCGCUGGCGAUUUUCCCCCCGUCUUCCCUUCUUUGGAUCUUUCCUUUACCCAUGUUUCUGACGAAGAGCUCAACUCGAAACGUUAAACCCUCUUUCUUUCCUUCUUUCCUGAGCGUCCAGUAAUACUAUACUUGUUCCACGUUCUCGCGUUUUCUCUUUGUGUUUUCAUGUUCGGAUUAACUAUAUAUAUAUAUAUAUAUAUAUAUAUAUAUAUAUAUAUAUAUAUAUAUACGAGGCUCCGGCAGUGGGUGGUGAUCCCUGCUGUACUCUUUCACCACUCUUCCUCCCACUCUUUCUUCAGUUGGCCUGCUCGCUUAGCCAGCGGGGUGGCGUCAUUCGAAGGCUAAAACAAUGCGAACGCAUUGUGACCGGCGAUGUGUAACUACAUCUGAUGGACUGGUCAGUCACGUGAUGGUGAGGGUGAUAUAUAUAUAUAUAUAUAUAUAUAUAUACAUUUAUGUAUACGUACAUACACACACCUAUAUAUAUAUAUGGUUCUAGGAAAAUUCAAUCCCGGAAAAUUCAGUCCCAAUAAAUCUGGUCCCGGACAAUUUUUGCGAAUCAGUAUCUCGUCAUUUCGCCCGCUAUGGAAUCCGUUCGCCCACACGUCCUUUCGCGCACAGGAUAACGAAUAUUUUCAAUUUUAAGAAACCCUGGUAUGGCUGCAAAAUAUUUUAAAAGUGUGAAAUACCAAGACAAAUUGAUUGAUGAAUUUAAUUAUGUUUAAGACUUUCAUGAGUUUAGUUCCGAUGAGAUAAGGAAACUGUGGCGCUGUGAGAUUCGCUAUACAUCUCGUGCUCGUGUUCAUACAGAGAAUAAACCAGGUGAACCUAUAAUUAUUUCAACAAUCAAUAGUCAUGAUCACGAACCAACAUCAAAUGCUGUAGAAGCACGAUUCGCCACUUCAGCAGUAAUAAAACGUUGCAAGAUGGAGUUGAAACAAGUACUCGAGUGAUCAUUUCUGAAGCUACGAAUAAUAUUAGUGAGAAAGGGAAAUAUCAAUUCCCACUGUUGCAAACAGUUUCUAGAAGUAUUACAAACUGGCGAAAGAAAGCUUUUGGUGCUCCUCCGUUGCCUCUUCAUCGAACUGGAUUUCAAUUGGCUGAUCCUUUUAAAUACUUGUAAGGCAGUAAUUUGUCCCUGCAAUGCGACACAGGCAGUAAUGAUGAAAAGAGGAUUUUAAUCUUUGCCUCUAACGAUGAUCUUCAACAAUUGGAAAACAGCUCAUUUUUAGGAAUAGAUAGCGCAUUCAAAUCAUCAGCAGAUGUAUGGUAUUAGCUUUCCACCAUUCACGCUGUCAUAAUUGCUCGAGCUUUCAUUCUACUGCCGGACAAAACACAAGCAACAUAUGACAAGACCUUUCUUGAAAUUAAAAAAAAAAAAAGUAUUGAUUGACUUUGAACGAGCAAUUCGUAACAACUGUGACAAUAAAUUUACUGGAAGCACCAUCGUAGGUUGUUUAUUUCCUUUUUCUAGGAAAUUAUGCCAAACAGUUUCUAGGAAAUUAUGCCAAGGAGUGGCUGUGUGGUAAGUAGCUUGCUUACCGACCACAUGGUUCCGGGUUCAGUCCCACUGCAUGGCACCUUGGACAAGUGUCUUCUACUAUAGCCUCGGGUCGACCAAAGCCUUGUGAGUGGAUUUGGUAGACGGAAAUUGAAAGAAGCCCGUCGUAUAUAUGUAUAUGUAUUGUAUAUAUAUAUGUGUGCGUGUAUGUGUAUGCAUUUGUCCCCCCAACAUCACAUGACAACGGAUGCUGGUGUGUUUACGCCCCCGUUACUUAGCUGUUCGGCAAAAAAGACCGAUAGAAUAAGUACAAGGUUCACAAAGAAUAAGUCCUGGGGUCGAUUUCCUCGACUAAAAGGCGGUGCUCCAGAAUGGCCGCAGUCAAAUGACUGAAGCAAGUAAAAGAGUAAAAGAGUAACUCGGAUAUAAAGUUCAAUAUAGUGCUGAUGGUUCUUUUACCACUAAAAUAAAAAUGUUCCGUGCAGUUGCAUUUUUACCACCAGAAGAAGUAAUUGAUAAUUAUGAAGAUCUCUUUGAGGACGAAUCAGUUACAAUAGAUUCUAUAAGCUAUUUCGAGCUGACGUACAUUGGAUCAAAGAGAGGAAGACGUGACAGACGAGAAGAACCCUUGUACCCUAUAAAUUUUUGGCAUGUUUACUGUCGAGUAAUACAGGAAUUGCCUCGGACAAACUCAGCAUUGCACACAUCAAUAACAAGCAAGCACCCAAACAUCUGGAAGUUUAUUAAUGCUCUUCGAAAAGAAGGAACUCUUACACAGAUCAAAAUAUUUCAUGCCCAAAGAGGAGUCAAUCCACGGAAAAAGAGAAAAGACCAGUCAAUAGAUGCGCGGAUAAAAGACCUUGUGCAAUCUUAUGAGAGUAACGAUAAAUUAGCUUUCCUAAAGGCAAUUGCUCAUUCAUUAACAUUUUCGGUUUAAUUUUAAACAUGAGUUACCCUUAUUUUUCUGCUGGUUUAUACAUGUGACUUUUAUUAAUAAAAUUAUUAUUCUAUUUUGUUUUUUUAUUAGUAAAAUCAACGUUUACAUGAGAAGUAUUUACUAACGCCUAAGCUCAAUAUUUUUGGGGACCGAAUAUUCCGGGACCGAAUUUUCUGGUCACCAUAUAUAUAUAUAUAUAUAUAUAUAUAUAUAUAUAUAUAUAUAUAUAUAUAUAUAUAUAUAUAUAUAUAUAUAUAUAUAUAACGAUAUAUUACGAGCUUCCACAGUUUUCAUCAGUCAGAACUCUUACAGAGCAUUCUUAUUCGACACGGGCUAUAGGAGUAAUUACUUGUCCAAGGUGUCGCACAGCAGUAAUGAACCUGAAACCACAUGCUUGCGAAUCGAUAUUCUUAACAACACAUUCAUAAUUAAGACCUGAAGAUAGUUUUUUCGUUAUUGUUUAUUUAUUUAUUUACUUGAUAAGUUCACGUCCAGAGCCAACUCCUCGCCUUCCCAGUAGAUAACAAUAUCCGACCUGCCGCAGAAACUUGCGGAAAGGCAUUGGCCAAAUCGGCCACAACCGGACGCACUGUGACCCAUUUUCUUUUCCCAUGUGAUUUCCUGGUCAUCGUCGACAACGACUGAGGAUCAGUAACAUUAUCAUAUUUAUUUAUGUAUUUUCCUUUCAUCCAGUCAUUUAUUUAUAUUUUGCUUAUUAUCUACUACUUUUUCUUCUUAACAAAUUUAGUGUUACAAUCUCAUAAAACACAUUUAUUUCGUCUCGUCUAGAAGCUUAAUUUUGUAUUCAUAUCGACAUUGCAUAUUCAUAAACAUGAUACUAUCAAUGGGAUAUGGGCAGGAUUAGAGCUCAGAUGUAGGACGCCGGAACAAAUGUCGCAAAACACUUCUGACACACUGAUUCUACCAAUCCACAGCCGUGAUUAUAUCAUGGCUUCGUUUACGGCGGUGAAUUGUAGAAUGACUACUGCGCUGGACAACAUGCUUGGUGGUAUUUCUUCUGACCUUAAAGGCGGCGAGCUGGCAGAAAGGUUAGCAAGCCGGGCGAAAUGCUUAGCAGUAUUUCGUCUGCCGCUACGUUCUGGGUUCAAAUUCCGCCGAGAUCGAAUUUGCUUUUCAUCCUUUCGGGGUCGAUUAAAUGAAUACCAGUUACGCACUGGGGUCGAUGUAAUCGACUUAAUACCUAUGUCUGUCCUUGUGUGUCCCCUCUAUGUUUAGCCCCUUGUGGGUAAUAGAGAAAUAGGUAUCUCUUCUGCCGUUACGUUCUGAUUUCAAAUUCCGCCGCGGUCGACUUUGACUUUUAUCCUUUCGGGGUCGAUUAAAUAAGUACCAGUUACGCACUGGGGUCGACUUAAUCGACUUGAUCCGUUUGUCUGUCCUUGUUUGUCCUCUCUGUGUUUAACCCCUUGUGGGUAGUAAAGAAAUAUCCUUUGAGGGUGAUAAAAAAAAGAGGGAUCAAUUCGAUGUAAUCGACUUAAUCCCUUCCACGAAAUUGCCGGCUAUGUACCAAAGUUUGAAACGUAUCUCAUGACUUGGUUUCGCACUGAAAGAUUCAUGAAGGGUAGUUUUGAUAUACUGCAUGUUCGCCAGUGGAUGACGGGGCCACGAUUCAAGCAGGCUUGGCUACAGCAGGUAAAGAAAGAUUCCGUUAUAGAUUGGGUACUUCUGUGUUAUGAUCCUUCUUCAAUGUUGCUUUUUAUUCAAGUCAGCCCCACGUACAUUCUCGGAGCACGGGAUAGACUGGUAAAGACUGUAUCGUCUGUAUCCUGAGUAAGGUCUAUCGUUGACCACUGGGUAUGAUCGAUGUGACAGGUACCGAAGGAUUUCUCUGGAUUUUCCUCAUCUGUAUUAUAUACAGUGUUUAUUGAGAUAUCAGUGAUCAGUUUAUGAUGAGCUUCGCAUCUUAUAAAUCCCGUUGCUACAAAACGGCUAUCCAGGCCUGAUCAAAAUCCUUUUUGUUCCUCGUUAUUAAAAGUGGAUUAAUUUCAUUUAUUAGAUUGCAUUUCAGAUAUUAAUCACAAAAUAACAAACACAUCAUAUUUAUUUAUUCAUUCAUUUAUUUAUUUAUUUUGUAUUUCAUGUUGAUUCGAUUCUCAUAAUGAACUCCAUAAUUAGGUCUUUGUUGUGGGAAAUGUCUAUGUUUUGCGUAGUUUUAUGUGAUUGCUUUUUAAUUGUUUCAGCAUUAAAUGCUGUUGAUACUGUGUGCUUGAUCCCGUUCCUCUUGCAUAUAAAACAUUCUGACUCCCAGAAAUCGAUUUAAUUGUGGAACACUCGCAUAUAUAAUGAUGUGAGUCUCAUAAGUCAUCGGAUCACACGAGUUAUAUUUUUAAAAAAAUUCUCGUUUAAAACAACUAUAGUCGUUGUUAUUGUUGCUUUAGUUGUCAUUGUUUAACUCCAGGUCAGGCUCACUUGAGACGGCUUACUUAAGAGAUCAACGUGCUUAAGUUGUUACAUCCAGUUAUUUUAUUUUAUAGACUAUAUUGUUUCAUUUAUGGUUUAUUUAAGACAAAAUUUUAUGAUUCUAAAGACAUUUAGCUGCUAAUUGUAGUAGACCGAUCGAGGUGGUAGUGUUAAACUGGUUGCUGUCUUACACCGGCCACUAAAAACAUUGCGAUGUUAAUAUUGACUGAAACCGAUGUAAAGAUCUAAAUCGAAUGUGGCCAAUCUUUUGCUAUUAAAACUAAAUUUUCAAGUUAAAAAAACUAGAGACAAUAUAGGCAGGAAGAGAUUUUCUAAAAGGUUAAACGAUAUAUACAUAUAUAUAUAUAUAUAUAUAUACACACAUACGUACAUAUAUAUAUUUGUGUAUAUAUAUAUAUAUAUAUAUAUACACACACAUACGUACAUAUAUAUAUUUGUGUAUAUAUAUAUAUAUAUAUAUAUAUACACACGUACAUAUACGUACAUAUAUUUGCAUAUAUAUAUAUAUAUAUAUAUAUAUAUAUACACACACACACACUCACAUAUCUGUGUUUCCUAUGUUUAACGCAGAAGCAGUAACGAGUGAGAAUUUUGUAAUAAUAAUAAUUAUAAGCUGAAAGCUUAUAAUAAUGAUUAGUAUUAUUUACAGUAUAUAUAUAUAAGAACCGCUGCUUUACACAAACUUAAUAGCUUCAUUAAUUGGAAUAUUAUGAAUCUCAUAACGCAUCAUGUUACAGAAGCAAAGAUAACAACAGUUGGCGAUUAACCGAGAUCAGACCCUGCUGAGUGGAACUGUAAUCACAGAUUUGCUUUAUGUUCAUAUAGAUGUAUAUUUAUGGGUGUCCUCUAUUUGUUGUCAUUUUAAAAUGGUAGUGUGUGAUUCGGUGGUUCAAAUUACCAAAUGGACUUAGCGUCAGCCAGCAUCUUAGGAUACUUUCCGUGCUGGUGCUUUUAGUCACCAUGAUAGAUCGUUUGCCACUACACACAUUUUUUUCUCUCCUUGUUUCUCUCCUUGUUUUUUCUGUUUCCCUUUCUGUAGAAGAGCGUAGGCUCGAAACGUAAAAGACUUUUUCUAUUCCUGAGCGUUAUACUAAUACAUCUGUUUGUUUUGUACACCACCUGUCUUCGUCUUUUGAUUUUUUCGUAAACUCUCCCUAUAUAUAUAUAUAUAUAUAUAUAUAUAUAUACAGUGGAUCCCCGAGGAAAGUUAGUCGAUGACAAAUAUUCAGGUUUAUAAUUAUUUACUUGCGGCAAACGGUAUUUAGGAGAAUUAAUUAAACAAAAUACACUUUGCUCUUUGUCAUUAUUUAAAUAUUAAAACAUGCAUAAAAUUAUUUACAAACGUGCGCAUGCACACACUCACUCACAUAGUCACACAAGCACACAUACCUACACACACAUACACACACAGGCGCUCGUGAAUACACAAACAUGUACGUGCACAUAUAAUUUAUAUACAAAUUGAUGAUCUUAGUGUUAUCUUUACGCAGCGUUUAGGUAACUAAAUGACCUGUCAGCGUUUCAGCGAAAUAUAUAAUUAUACUAGAAGUAUCAUAACAGCAAAUCGCCUUUGCUGAUCAUGUUCGUGGGGCGACGAAACUGAGAGAGAGAGAGAGACGGAGACAGACAGAAAUAGAUAGAGAGAAAACCAAAAAAAAUAUAUAAGAAGCAGACGAAGAGAGAAAGUGAGAGCGACGGCGACACUUUGUCAAUUAUGUUAGUAUAUGUUAACAAUUUUUAAGCUUGUACUGUCGAUUGCAAAUUACAAAUAAAUGAACUGAGUCAUUCGAUAUUUAAAUGCAUUAGUUGUGGAUAAUAUUAUCAGACAUUUAGGCCGGAUGGUUUAGUAAUUACUCUUCUGAAGUUAAUAUUAUUAAGACACAGAAUUCGUGGAAAUUCCGUGUUUUAUAAAUGAUUUCCUUUGUCUAUUUAUUGCAUAAAUUUACAGCGCUUCAAAACACUGGUUCAUUAUCUCAACGAAUUUCAGCUUCGUCAGAAUAUUCUAUCGCGUGUGUGUAUAUAUAUAUAUAUGUAUGUGAGUGUGUGUAUAUGUAUGAAUAUCUAUGUAUGUGUUUAUUAUAUAUAUAUAUAUAUAUAUAUAUAUAUAUAUAUAUAUGUAUGUAUGUAUGUAUGUAUGUAUGUAUGUAUGUAUGUAUGUAUGUAUGUGUGUAUGUAUGUAUUAUCUAUUUAUCUAUACCUAGAUAGAUAGGUACAUACCUGCAUACAUGAACAUAUACAUUCAUACAUACAUAUAUAUAUAUAUAAUAUAGAUAGAUACAUAUACACAUGAACACAUACACUCAUGUAUAUAUAUAUAUAUAUAUAUAUAUAUAUAUAAUAAACACAUAAGGCGGCGAGCGGUCAGAAAAGUUAGCGCGACGGGAGAAAAGCUUAGCGGUAUUUCGUCUGCGUUACGUUCUGAGUUCAAAUUCCGCCGAGGUCGACUUUGCCUUUCAUCCUUUCGGGGUCAAUAAAUAAAGUACCGGUUUCGCACUGGGGUCGAUGUAAUCGACUAAAUCCGUUUGUCUGUCCUUGUUUGUCCUCUCUAUGUUUAGCCCCUUGUGAGCAGUAAUGAAAUAUAUAUGAACAUACACAUACACACACAGAUAUAUAUAUAUAUAUAUAUUUAUAUGUAUUUAUUUAUAUAUAUAUAUAUAUAUAUAUAUAUAUAUAUAUAUAUAAAUAUUUAUGUGUGUGUGUGUGUGUGUGUGUGUGUGUGUGUGUGUGUGUGUGUGUGUGUGUGUGGUGGGGGCUUGUAUAGCUACUACCGUCUUUUUUUAUGUAUUUCAAUGUGAGAAUUUUAAUAUAAGGAAUUUUCCUAAAUUUCUUCCUGUAAGCAAAGUUGGCAACGAAAAUGAAUAGACAACAAGAGUACUCAGGAAGUGCAAACCUCCGCCAAGACAACACCAAUGACCAGAGAUGAUUUUUAAAAUGAGAAUAUCUGAAAGAAACUCGGCUGCUCUCACAAACGAGAAUACUAAUAAUGAACUCGACCGCUCUCAAGAAUAAAUUGAAAAAAAACAAAGAACAGGAAAAAAUUCCAGAAUUCUUGUCCUGUACCGAAUCGAUCUCCAAAUCUAAUCCGUUCGUGCCAGUCACGAAGCCAAACAUCCCUGAAGGUUUCAUCCGAAUCCAUCCAGCAGUUCUUGAGAUAUCUUGUCCACAGUCAAACAAACAAACACGACUGAAAACAAUACCUUCGUCUUAGCGAUGGCGGAGGUAAUAAAUUCAAUAUUACUCAAUUAAGUAAACUUAAGCAUGCAUAUACGUCUGAGUUAUGUAGCAGAUGUUACUAAGGCGUUCAUCAAUUAUAUAGAAGUUCACGUGAUGUCUGUUUGCUUUUUGAUUGUUUAAUACAAAUUAAAUCAACUGAUAACAAUAUUGUGUGAUGAAUAAAUAUAGUUUAGGGAAUUCCAUAAGAGCGUAUGUUAUUGAUGCAUUCUCCGGUGACAUCAGACUGUUUCAAGCCAUCUCAGAAUCUGUCUCUCGCUUUCUCUCAUUAUCUCUCUCUCUCCCUAAUACAUUCCUGCAUGAAUAUUAGAUAUCAGUAAGAGAGACUAAUGAUAUGUUAAUUUUUACGCUGCCACUGUAGCUUUACAUUAGCAACACGGCCUGUGCGCAGCUAGGGUGAUUAAGUAUUUCAUGAUUACGUCAAAUUAUUGAAAACGACACUGAAUGCAUACGAAGCAUUCGUUAAUGAAAUAAUUAGCUUUUUUCCAUUGAGAGAAAGCAGGUGCAAAAAUCACAACAGUCGUCACUCGCAAACGAGUAAAUGCUUUCGCUAACUGGUUAAGUGUCUAAGUAGCCGAUUCCUCUUGACCAGCGUGAUACACAGCGUUUGAAAAUACUGGAAGUGGGGAAUGCAGCAUCAGGCCUAGGCGUCCACUCUAAGUUUUCCUGGACUGGAGCAACGUGAAAUAAAGUACCUUGCUCAAAGACACAGGGUAUCGCCUAAUCUAAGAAGUGAAUCCAUAAUCUUACAGUCAUGAGCCUAACACACUCAGAAUUAAGUCACUCGCCUCUUCACAAUAAAACACGGUUGUUUGAAGGUUGGUAUACACCGGCAUAGACAAAAUUCAAUAUAUAUAUAUAUAUAUAUAAUAGUUACUCUUUUACUGGCUUCAGUCAUUUGACUGCGGCCAUGUUGCAGCACUGCCUUUAAUCGAGCAGCUCGACCCCGGAACUUAUUCUUUUGUAAGCCCAGUACUUAUUCUAUCAGUCUCUUUUGCCGAAACGCUAAGUAACCAGCAUCGGUUGUCAAGCAACGCUAGGGGGACAAACUCAGACACACAAACACACAAACACACACAUGCAUAUAUAUAUAUACAUAUACACGACGGGCUUCUUUCAGUUUCCGUCUACCAAUAAUAAUUUUUCUGUAGUCUUGGCUUAACAUCCCUCACUGUUUGUUUUUACUGUUUUGUUCUCACUGUCCUGUUCUUGUUACCACUUUCACCCUCCGCAAAAAAUCCCAAAUCUUAUUUAAUUUGCUUUGCGGGAAGGACUGUUUCCAUGAAGUCGCGUCUUGUCCUUACCCUCGUACGUGGAGUAGAUGAAACAGGGACAACUAAAGAAGGGGAAUAUUCUUUAUGUUGUAUGUCUCGUUUCUCAGUUUUUUCGUUGUUUCGUAAAAAGUUCGUUUCCAUGUUUUUGUUUUUAUGUUUUUGUUUCUCAUUGUGUUUUUUUUUAUGUCCUGUACCCAUACAUGCAUGUAUAUAUACACACACACAUAUAUAUAUAUAUAUAUAUAUAUAUAUAUAUAUAUAUAUAUAUAUAUAUAUAUAUAUAAGUUAUCGCCAUACUAAUAUGGCAUUCUUAUAAAAAUAAGAAUAAAGCUGACCGCUUAUUAGCUCCAUGAGGCCAUCGCCUUAAGUUAGCUAUUUGAUACACAAACUGUAUCCAUAUAACCUUUGAACAAGGGAGGUCAGUCGCUCCACACUACUUGGCCGGCAGCUACAGACGCGUUUCGGGGUAUUGCCCCUUUUCAAUGCAGCGUAGCCAAACCAGUAGGUGUCGCUUCCGACAAUCUCUGUUCAAAGGUUUUAUUUACCUAGCUUCGGUGGAAUACAUCCACUUGUUUUCAAUAAUAGAAAUAUUAAAAUUACUAAGUCUCUCUAAAAGAGAACAACGGCAGCGUUCCCGGAAAAUAGUUAUCGCAUACUAAUAUGGCAUUCUUAUAAAAAAAGAAUAAAGCUGACCGCUUAUUAGCUCCAUGAGGCCAUCGCCUUAAGUUUAUUUGAUACACAAACUGUAUCCAUAUAACCUUGAACAAGGAGGUCAGUCGCUCCUUGGCCGGCAGCUACAGACGCGUUUCUUCCAAACCAGUAGGUGUCGCUUCGACAAUCUCUGUUCAAAGGUUUUAUUUACCUAGCUUCGGUGGAAUACACCCACUUGUUUUCAAUAAUAGAAAUAUUAAAAUUACUAAGUCUCUCUAAAAGAGAACAACGGCAAGUAGUGUGGAGCGACUGACCUCCUUGUUCAAAGGUUAUAUGGAUACAGUUUGUGUAUCAAAUAGCUAACUUAAGGCGAUGGCCUCAUGGAGCUAAUAAGCAGUCAGCUUUAUUCUUAUUUUUAUAAGAAUGCCAUAUUAGUAUGGCGAUAACUAAUAUUUUCCGGGAACGCUGCCGUUGUUCUCUUUUAGAGAGACUUAGUAAUUUUAAUAUUUCUAUUAUAUAUAUAUAUAUAUAUAUAUAUAUAUAUAUAUAUAUAUAUAUAUAUAUAUAUGUAGGUAUGUACAUGUAUGUAUAUAUGCAUAUGUUUAUAUAUUAUUUAUGUAUAUAUAUAUAAAUAAAUAUAAUAUAUAUAUAUAUAUAUAUAUAUAUAUAUAUAUAUAUAUAUAUAUAUAUAUAUGGGUGCGAGCUGGUGGAAUCGUUAGCAUGCGGGACAAAAUGAUUAGAGACAUUUCGUCUGCUUAUACAUUCUGAGCUGAAAUUCCACCAAGGUCGACUUUGCCUUUCAUACUUUCAGGAUCGAUAAAAUAAGUACCAUUUGAGCACUAGGAUCGAUGUAAUCGACUUAGACGCUUUCCCGAAAUUUCUGGCUUUGUGUCAAAAUUUGAAACCAUUAUAUAUAAUACGAAACUUUGAUAUUUUAGCUUGUAAGCUGACGUCUUAUAGGAACGGCCAUUUGCAAAACAAUCUUGAUGUGUAGUCUUCUAAUCAAACGACAUCUGUUUCAGAAAGCUGUUUUUCAGUUUACCUUAUUACAGUUUUCAGCACUCUUCUUUUCAAGACCAUGACUACACCACAGGGCUAAUGAAAUUUCAAUAUAUAUUGGUAUUUACGAAAUGUCAAAUAACUACAUCUCCUAGGCGAAGAUAAAUAGUUCAGGCUCCAUGUAAUUAGAAAUUACAGAUUACAAUUUGAGAAACACAAACUUCUCUGAGCAUUACUGCUUUCACUAAUCGGAAUGAUUUGAAAACAUUAUCGCUAAUAGAAGCCUUGCUGUGCACGAAGAGAACAAAUUUAUAGACGAUCAUUAAAUACAAGAAAGAAAGAAUUGUUCCGUGGUUUCAACUGAUUUUAUUUCUCCAGACAUGAAUAUUUUAUUUCUUAAUACAGGAAAUAUCCCUCUGAUUAUUGUUGAAAGGAAACUGAAAGGUACUGCAGAUUUCUUUCACAGACACACAAUACACGAUAUUACAUGGAUUGUUAAAACGCUUGGUUUCUCCCAAACUUCUUCAUACGUGUCCAAAAUAACUCAUGCCUACCUCACAUUCGGACUAUAGUUUUUGUUUAUCAUGUUAUUAACUUAAAAGAAAGAUUUAUCGGAUGUUAUUAAGAAUCAAACGACGAGCUUUUCAGAUUUUGAAACUGCUAUUUAUUUAUGAUGAUUAAUAUAUAACCAAAUCUUACCUUGGAGGUUUUUAGUGUUAAUAGAAGUCUAGGGAGUCUGCAAGUUAAGGGAGUCAAACUAAUAAUUAUAUUAUGUUUCCUGGAAACGUGAAACAUAGUUGAGUAAACGCAAGGAAUAUAGGUUAGUCUACUUAGUGUAUUUUAUUCGUAGUGUUACUGUUUCUUCUGCGCCAUAUUGGAUAAUACUAUUGGAAUGCUGAAGCCGCGAUAACGUAAUCUUUAUCAUAAACUAGCAGUAUCACCCGGCGUUGCUCGGGUUUGUAAGGGAAAUAACUAUAUAAGCAUUUUUAGAGAGUUAUAGCCAAAAAAUAGCAAAAAAAUGCAUUAAAAAUGGAAAAAAAAUGAUGGUAAAUUUUUUUUAAAUCGUUGACUCAUCGUAGACAUUUUUAGAGAAUUACUUCCCUUAUAUAAUAGCGAAAAAAUGCAUUAAAAUGGAAAAAAAUGAUGGUAAAUUAUUUUAAAAAUCGUAGACUCAUCGUAGACGCGCGCUAAUACCCAGAAGGGCUCGAUAUGAAUCACGACUAUAAGAUACCCGCUUUUGAUUACACUGCACCGCAAAAUGUGGGAGUAGUUAGGAAUCUAAAUCGUAGGAGACAGACACACAACUUCACUUUUAUAUAUAAAGAUAUUAGAAUGAUCAUUCAGGCGGAGAUCGGGCAGAAUCGUUAGCACACCGGGUGACAUGCUUAGAAGCAUUUUUGCCCGUCUUUACUCUCUGAGUUCAAAUUCCACCGGGGUCAGCUUUGCCUUUCAUCCUUUCGUGGAUCGAUAAAGUACCAGCUGAACAAUUGGGUCGAUGUAAUCGACUUACACCACCCCUGAAUUGCUGGCCUUGUGCUACAAUUUGAAAUCAAUACUAGAAUGGUCUCUGACAAACAUAUUCACACACACACAUAUAUGAGGGUUUGCUCUUAUUUCUACCUAUAUAUAUUUAUGUACGAGUGUGUGUAUAUAUAUAUAUAAUAUAAAUAAUAUAUAUAUGUGCAAUUAUGCAUAUACAUACAUAUAUGUGUGUGUAUAUAAAAUAUAUAUAUAUAUAUAUAUAUAUAUAUAUAUAUAUAUAUAUAUAUAUAUAUACACAUAUAUAUGUGUAUAUAUAUAUAUAUAUAUGUAAGCAUACAAAUCAUGAAAAGUCCGGGUGUAUGAGAGGUGAAUAUAUUUGCUUUAUCACUUGAUAUUCUUUGGAUUACGGCCGUUUCGCACCGUUUUUCAUGUCAUAAGAAUUUUUGAGUAGAAGAAAUUAUGCUCGUAUGUUUGCAUUAAUAUUCAGCCUUUGCUUCAUAAGAUAGAACUAUAUAUUAAAAAAUAAAUGCAAAUAAAGAAAACUAGCACAUUAGAUCACCAGAAAGUUAUGGUUACAUCAAUGAUUCCACUCAAUACGUGCAUGUAAACCUUUACGUUUGGCAAAUAAGGGCAUAAGUAUAUUGUUCCUGUGCUAUUAACGUGCAAAAUAAGAAUUUCUCUUUAUACAUCCAUGUUUAAUUUAUAGUGAUUCUGUAAUGUUUAGAUAUAUUUCAGUUCUGAUUUAGCCUAUGUUAUGCAUAAUAAUGUAUAUGUGCGCACGUAUGUGGUUUUGUAAAUAAUUCUUGAGAGUACCUGUCCAGAUGAAAUUGAUUAAGCCACUUAACACUAAAGAACUCAAAUACCUGGGAGUGAGCAUUAAUAUGGUUUAUUAAAGACACUUAAACCAGAAAAAGGCAUACUAUUUCGUUUGAAGACACAUCGGUGGCAGUUUACCCAGUUUAGGUAGAAAGAAGGAACGAAGAGAUAGGUGGGGUGAUAGUAGAAACUGUAUAAGUGAUUAAAGAGUGAUGGUCAUGGUAUUCAUUGUAGGUCGUGAUGAGGAUAGAAUUUCUACUUUUACACAGCAUCGCCCCGUUUAUUCCUAUCACUAUAGCCAACUUCACCUCACCUAGCUUUUUACUUAUCUACCUAUCAAGCUUCCAGCCUAUAUACGGUCUUCAACUUUUGUUUACUAACCAGUCAAUGAUGUGUCUUCGGUUAAAAGAAAAUGUCUUUUGUUAGAUAUAUUUAUAAGUAACAGAGCGCUCACAAACGCGUACAUAUACAUACACCCACAUAAUAUGUGCCAAGCUGAAAGUGUAAUCUUCUUACCUCAGCAUACUAAACAUUCGUUGUAUGAGCUACGUUGUCUGCUUGGAUAGUUUAUAGCUUUUUUGUUGAGAAACAGGAUUUUUUAAUUCCCGCGUUUUCGUAAUAUAUUUCAGCUAUGAGAUUUUAGUUAGGUGUCAUACAUACUGUAAUCUGUUUUAUGAGUGUUUUAAUAACAUAUUUAUAACCAUGCUGUAACGAUAGUGUUUUUACUACAUGUGUCGUUUCUAUACUUCUAAUUGCUGAUGCUUCUUCUUUUCAUCGGUUUGGAUGAAUUUGUUCUUAUAUUGUACCAUGAUCUGAUUUCUUGAUAUAUUAAGGUACUAGCCAUUUACUAAUGAAUAUUGGAAAUGACCGAAAUGCUUGGAUUGCGAAUACAAGCGAUCGAAAUGCGGUUUUUCUGUGAUGUCUCUGGAGUAGCGUUACUCGACUGAGUGAAUAACUCGGAGAUCGGAGAAUCUCGCCAGGUUGAGCCGCUACUUUUCCACUCUGAGGAGUCAUAGCUCUGGCAAUAUGAUGCAGUAGAGAAUCGCAAGAAGGAUACUUCCAGUCGAGCUAACCGGCAGGAAACAUAGGGGUACACGAAAAAGAAAAGAAAGAUGGAUAGAUAAUAUCCUUAGUCGCAGAUUGUCACACUCGGAAAUCCAGCCUGAAAGGGCAGUGACAGGUGCUUCUGAUAAGAUCCUAGAAUAGAGGUUCCUGAGGAUUCUACCCCACAACUCUUCUAGGAAAAGUGUUCGGAGAAAAUAGAUGAAUGGCUGCUUUACACAAAAAGAUUUCCUCAUAUAUAUAUAUAUAUAUAUAUAUAUAUAUAUAUAUAUAUAUAUAUAUAUCUGGGAGUAACUAAAGAAUAUUUUUUUUGUUUCAUUCCCCUUUGAAAUUACUUUUAUUCGUGGUUUGGGCUUUGACUGCCCUUUCUAACAUGUGAGGUGAAGGUAUCCUGUCAUUGUCACCUCUUUCGUGUAUAAAUACCUGAAUUGUUUAUACACUGUUAUAUAUGAAACUAUGUUGUCUAUUGACAACCGGUAUGAAAAUGUUUUUAAAUUUUCUACCCUUAUUAUUUUCAGAGUAGAUAGAUAGAUAGAUAGAUAGAUAGAUAGAUAGAUAGAUAGAUAGACAGAUUGAUACAUGCAUACAUACAUACAUACAUACAUACAUACAUACAUACAUACAUACAUACAUACACACAUUGACACAUAUUUACGUAUAUGACAAAGAAACUGGGUAAACGUAAUUUAUAGGUAAAUAAUCAACUGGUCUAAAUAUUUUUUGAUGGAUGUUUGAAUAUUUUUUUGAUGAACGUUGACAGGUGCUUGUAUUUUAUUAUAUUAUUUACACACACACACACACACACACACACACAUACACACAAACACAUAGGUCAUAGCCAGCUCUGCUGACAGAAACUUGCCAGUUAUUUAUUACGCAUACAUAGAAUACUUUUGACAUUUUGUAUAGAGCUUGACUUUGAUUAUAUACACAACCGUGUAUAUAUAACCACCCAAAACACAGAUAUAUACAUGCAGAGAUGCACGUAGGUUAGCGCGAAAUUCAAAGAUAUGGAACAAGGGUUAAAUAAAAGUUUACUGACAAUCAUCUGUUUGUCUGUUCUUCACCCCGCCUCGCUAGCUGACUCUAUUCAACACAGUUGCUAGAUCAUACAUGCAACACACACACACACACACACACACACACACACACACACACACACACACACACACACACACACACACACACACACACACACACACACACACACAAGCACACCUUCAAACACACACAUGCACCACAUAAACACAUACACAAAUACAUACACACUCCUCUACCACACAGUAUGUAAAAUUGCUUGAUUCGGCUCAAUGCGACUAAAGUUUCACUGGUUUCUUAUAGAAACUUAAUUCAUCGUGUCUUAGUAACCGAAUUUUACUGCGAAAUUUUAAGCUGUUAGAGCCAAAUGAACCUGUUUUAUAUAACAUAUGUAACUCCUACUAAAGGUGUUGAAUGCUCUUUUUCUUUCGUUUGUUUACUCAAUCGUAUACAUACAUAUAUGCAUACACAUACACACACACACACACACACACAUCGUUAGCCACUACACACAUUUUUUCCCUCCUUGUUUCUCUCCUUGUUUUUUCCGUAUCCCUUUCUGUAGAAGAGCGUAGGCUCGAAACGUAAAAUACUUUUUCUAUUCCUGAGCGUUAUACUAAUACAUCUGUUUAUUUUGUACACCACCUGUCUUCGUCUUUUGUUUUUUUCGUAAACUCUCCCUAUAAAAUAUAUAUACAUACUUAUAUAUGACGUUAACUGAUGAGGAAUCAGCUACGAAUUUUCCAUGUACUACGGUUUCGAUAAAUUCACCGUUUGUUAAGUUUGUCUUAAAUUUUUCAGUCGUCUGUUUUGUUCCUUUUAUCCAUUCUGUGAAAUAUAUAUAUGUACAUAUACUUAUUGUCCUCUAUUGUCCACCAUUUCAUUCUUGGCGGAUCCUCUGGCAUCUACCAAUUGGCUCGGUUUGAAGGAUUCUUUCCUGCGACAUUCUAAUCACAUGAUCGUAAUACUGGAGCUGUGCCUUCACAGUGUGUAGAGGUUUCAACUCGAUCUCGAAAGUAUCUUGGUGGGUAACGUUACUUCAGAGGUCUUUCGCAAUAACCCCAUUUUGGACGCUUGUAUUCGCGAGUAUAUAUGCUACAGAUAUUUGAGCAUUAAUACUUGAUCUAAUUCUCUGCAGUCUGAUUUUAAAUAUCACCCGGGAACAACUUAGGUUCUUUGCAGUUUUAGCUCCGACUCUUUGCGAUCUGCCUGGAACUUUUGCAACAACACUGACGCUUAGCUGUAGCGGUUGAAACUGGCAACAAUUCCUUUGGUUAAAAAUCAGUGGAAAGAAGAAGGAAACAUGCAGGUUAGUCUUCCAAACACAAAUAACAGUCUUUCCUAGGUUUGUUCGUAUAUAAGUAGAUGCGGGGUCAAUUUUGAAUGACGGAAACCCUAUAGAAUUUGUCCGCUACAGUUGCGUAUCAUUUCGAAAGGGAUGCAGUGGGAAUCGAACACAGAAUUUAGUGCGAUCUAGCCAAAGACUACCAGGUACCUUAUGCGUCUCUCCAUCAAUUCUGGCAAUCCAAAUGCCGCCACGUGUAAAUAUUCUUAGUAUUCUUAUAAAUAGUAUAAAAUAUGAAUUCCUGAGAGAAUAUAAACAUAAGCCAGUUAGAACUAGUGAGUAUCUAUCAACCAUUCAAAUUAGAUACAGUAAUGUGUUAAGUUUGUAUCAUAUAUUUAUAUGAAAUUGUUAACGGAGAUAUACACUAAAUCUAUCCCAUUCACUAUAUUAGUUUUAUUCCAAAUAAGGUCAAGGAUGGUAGUGUGAUGUUAUUAGAUUUGUAUGCUCCGAUGAACAAAUAUGAAAAAACAUACUCAAAGGACAAUACAAGAAGAUAAGACCACCUGUAGCAAUAACAAUAAUAACAAUAACAACAACAAUAAUGAUAAUAAUAAUAAUAAUAAUAAUAAUAAUAAUAAUAAUAAUAAUAAUAAUAACAAUAAUAAUGAUAAUAAUUUCCUUGAAAUACAUGCCUUAAAACUUGUUUCGUUAAAAGAAUAUGGCGUUUAAAUCUACAAAUACAUACAUACAUAUACAUAUAUAUAUAUAUAUAUAUAUAUAUAUAUAUAUAUAUAUAUAUAUCAACGCGUUUGUUCCUUUUCAAUCUUCUACACACACACACAUAUAUGUAAAUAUAUAUAUGUAUGUAUGUAUAUUUGUAUGUAUGUAUAUAUAUAUAUAUAUAUAUAUAUAUAUAUAUAUAUAUAUAUAUAUGUUUGUGUGUGUAUAUAUAUAUCGAUCUAUGGUAGCAAACGUAUCCGUUCUCUGGACGUUUUAAGAUUCUUUGGUGGUAUUUUUUCACCAAAUAAUGGAACUACCGAGAAGGUUUAUGAGUAGCCCGGCAAUCUAUGUUCCCGAUUAACCUAGGAACAGAAUGUUGAUACUUUUAUAUAUUGCGUUAUGAUUAUUAAUGUUUCAAACCUUCUUAUUUAUUCAGAAAUAAUGAGAAACAAAUUGGUGGUGUAUUAACGAAAGUUUUUUUUACAGGAUAUUAAUGCAGUAGAAAGUGUAAGCAUAGAUCAAAAGGGAGACCACUUAUUUCGGUUAAGGGAAUGACAAAAUUCUACAGUGUAACCAUUUACUAUUUCAACAAUUUUAAGGGUGGGAAAACGCAAGUAUUCUUAAUAAACUAGAAAGACAAAAAAUAUUUUUAUCGAUUGCCCCACCUGGCCGCAGUUCUAUGACUGAAUUAGGUUGUUGUACACCUAAGCAUGAAACACACGAUGAUGUUUAUAAUCUUUGCAGAUGGCACAGACGUUAAAAUUAUUAUUUUUCUCUUCACAAAAUAUAGUUGUAAAACUACUUUGUAUAUCCCGGAGGCAGAAUACUAAACAGUCGCAUACCAAAAUCAUUCGCAUUCUGAAAAAAAAAAAAAAAAUCUAACAUUUUCAUAGUUAAUAUCAAUAAAAAAGAAACCUUAUUUUAUCGUCAAAAUAUCAAAAGAAUAAUAAAGCAGUCGACUGGUACUUUUAAAGAAUCAUGUUCCACCUACAAUAGAACAUAAGGUUACUUAAUCACCUUAGCUUGCCUGAAAAAUUUACGAAUACAAGCUUAACAAAUAUAUAUCCCAAAACAAACUAAGACACAGGAAUCAAGUUAAGAUAAGGAGAGCAGAAAUAUUUGGUGUGGAGGGAAAAUAUAAAAAAAAAAAUAGGCAUACAGAUACGGUUGUAUGGUAAGGAGUUUGAUCUCCAAGUACAUGGAGAUCACAAGUGUCUGUAAUUUCGGGUGACCAAAACCUUGUGAGAGAAAAACACGCAUAUAUAUAUAUAUAUAUAUAUAUAUAUAUAUAUAUAUAUAUAUAUAUAUAUAUAUAUACACAUUCUUUAUUGCCCACAGGGAGCUAAGCAUAGAAGGGAUAAACAAUGAGAUUAAGUCGAUUAUAUCGACCCCAGUGCGAAACUGGUACUUAUUUAAUCGACCCCGAAAGGAUGAAAGGCAAAGUUGACCUGUGCGGAACCUCAGACGAAAUAUCACUAAGCGUAACCUCAGACGAAAUAUCACUAAGCAUUUCGCCCAGCGUGCUAACGAUUCUGCCAGAUUGCCGUUAUAUAUAUAUAUAUAUACGUGUGUGUGUGUGUGUGUGUGUGUGUGUGUGUGUGUGCGCGCUAGCAAACGCCCCCGUCCGUUAUUGACCGGUUUGUAUAGGUGAAGAGAGUUAACUUGGAUGGUGUUGUGAUGUUUGGUGAUUGUAUGGGGAUUUUUACUUUUGGUUAGAGCAUAAAAGAUUCCUGAGACGUUAAAACUUUUGAGUGUAUUUUCUAAAUAAUGAAAAUUCAUCGAUAGUGAAUCUUAACACAGUGAACCUUUUCAAAAUUGUCAUAAGGCCAAUAAAACGAAGGAUUGCAAUAAGUACAACUUCCAGUGGAAUCGGUCCUCAUAAUUAACUUUAAACUUUUUGCACUCAAACACUUUCACAUUAGGAUAAGCACAAUGUACUCUUCCAUAGUACAUACCUCAUGUUGACACCUCUACGUCAGACUGAACGCUGUUUUAUCUCCAAAGUGAAUAUUGCAAGAGAUAUUUAAGCAAUAAACAGUUCUUUGACUUUUGCAUUUGACGACUGUUGCUUUACGUAUUUUAUUUCGGUUUUCACUGGCGAAGUGGUCUUAACUACGGGAUAAGUAACAUUAGUUUCGAAUAAAAAUAUCAAUGGAAGUUAUAAUCAUCCGAUGGACAGGCAAACAGAAACUGCUACCCAAUAAAGGUGUAAAAAUGCUUAGGAAAGUUUCUCUUCUCCCAAAAACUGACACAAAAGAGUUGAAACGUGGGGGUGAAAUAACACAAUGUGCAAUAAAAUAACAUAAGGCAUGUUCUUUGCAAAUCUAUUUUAUCUCAAAAAUUGAGCAAUACCGCUUAUUUUUUAAGUUGGAUGAGAAAAAUUAGGCAAGGUUUUAGAUGUGACCCCACCAAAUUAUUCACGUUUUUUAAGCAAUCAAUUUGUCUUUUCUUCUUUUAAUUGAAUUUUGUUGAGAAUAUCUUCAGAAAAUUGAGUCAUCACCAGUUAUUUAUUUGCUUUAUUUCCAUAUUUUGCUCACUUGAAGUAACUGCCUUUUCCUAGUAGUUUUACAUAUCAGCUGGUAUAUUGCACGAAAAACGGUCGUAAGAACACAUUUGAACGCGAAUGCAUGUGGUUGAUUACAGUUAAUUAAAGUUGGAGUGAUAUCGAUUUUUUAGCCGUUUUCAAACGUGUAAAAACACAGAAAUGAAUACAGUUGUUCGUGGUCUAAUAUUUAAAUCAAAAUGAGACUCUGUUUACAAAUAGCAAACUUUAUUUACAUAUAUCUGUCAUUAAAAUGUGAAAACGUAGAAACGAAUUGUUUAAAACAACAGGAUGGCGGAAGAAACAAGACAGAAUGAUUACAAAAAUAGCGAUUCUCACUUUGAAACUGACAAUUUCGAAAAUCUUUUUAGAUUAGGGAACGCCCCGCUCUCAUGUAUUUCAGCGCGAUCGGAUGAAUAAUACUCGAGUUAUAAGCGCACAACAUAACAGACCGACAGAACAGGAUUUAUAUAUUAGAUAAUACAUAUAUAUAUAUAUAUAUAUAUAUAUAUAUAUAUAUAUAGAUAAGUAGUUGAAUGAAUUAUCCUAGUAUGGAUAAUUCGGUUAACCGAUACCCGAGUAGCAAAUUCACGUCAGAAAAACACGGUUGAAGCUACAUGCCAAGGGCAUAGAUCAACUGCUUUCGUGUGGAAAUUUAUGUGUUUUUAUAAAUUCCUUGUCUUUCCUGGUGAGAAGGCGGCAUAAUGCACCCCUUAUUCCUUCGAAAUUAGGAAUAUGCAGUCUUCGAAACAUAUGUCGAGAAUAAAGGAAAUUUGUUAAAUCGUCAUUCAACUCCAUUCUCUCAUUUAUAUAUAUAUAUAUAUAUAUAUAUAUGUGUGUGUGUGUGUGUGUGUGUGUGUGUGUGUGUGUGUGUGUGUGUGUGUGUGUGUGUGUGUGGGUGUAUAUUACGAUAUAUAUAUAUGUUACUCAAUGGAAUUACAACUCUCAUUUUCACGUUUUAUUCUUUGCAAUUUUUACAAUUUUGCAAUAUUGAAAUAAACUAAUACUUUCAUGCGUUACGCAAUCAUCAGGUUUAUGCAGUGACAGCUGUGUUGUAUAAAUGACAAGUGUCAAUUACGUAAUACAUGAAAGUAAUUGUUUAUUUCAAUAUUGUAAAAUUGGAAAAAUUGCAAAUAUUAAAACGUUUCAGUCAGAUUUAUUUGGAAUUUCAUUAAUAUAUUCUUCUAUACACAAUCAUACAAACAGCGGAUAUCUAUCUAUCCAUACAACCAUCUAUCUAUCUGCCUACCUGUCUAUCUAUCUACCUAUCUAUCUAUCUAUCUAUCUAUCUAUCUAUCUAUCUAUCUAUCUAUCUAUCUAUCUAUCUAUCUGCCUGCUUGUCUAUUUAUCUAUCUAUCUAUCUAUCUAUCUAUCUAUCUAUCUAUCUAUCUAUCUAUCUAUCUAUCUAUCUAUCUAUCUACCUACCUACCUGUCUAUCUGGGCUUAUGUGGAACAACUGCUGUCACGUGUGGGACGAGUCGGUUUAUCAGCUGAGUCUAUCGUCAAUAUUGUUACGCCUCCUUCCUUCAAACGGGAAGGAAGAGCUAUUUUCAUCAUCCUUGUGGCUAUGGCGAAAGAAUGUAUCUGGUGGACGCGUCUGAAAGGAUUGGAGACAAACACUUUCCUCUCUGGUCAAUCUCUCAUCAACUUCUUCAAGUACCACUUGAAAAGAAAGUGAGAGUAGAGAGGCAAGUUUUGUCUAGCGAAUGUUUUAAAAAAAGAUGGGUGAAUGUAGCAAGGAUGGCACGUAUGAAUGACGAAGCCACCUUGAGCAUAAUCCUAUGAACCCAGAAAUUGAAAACAGAGGGUUACCCACUUGCAAACAAAUGUGGUAACAUAUAACAAUAUUGACCAAGGUUACCGUGGUCUUUUUCGUAGGCUUUUCUUCCCACGGAUAAACCUUACUUGCUUUCCCCUUUACACCAUAUAUCAUAACACUGUGAUACACGAUCCCUAUUGAUCGUUCUUUUUUUCCUCUUCCCCUUUUUUUCCCCUUUUUUCUUCUUUUUUCAUUUCUCUUUUCUUUUUUCCUUUUCUUUUUUUUUCUUUUUAUUCUUUUUAUUUUUUAUUUUAUUUAUUUAUUUAUUUUUUUUGUUUGUUCUUUUCUUCCCUUUUACGAUCCCUCUUGAUCGAAAACCUACGCCACCCCCUUUUUUCUUUUUUUUCUUUUGUUUUUUGUUUUUUUUCAUCCCCCAAAAGAAAAGCUCUACCUUGUAACUUGUCCCAUCUGUGUGCAGCCCUGUGUGGCCAAUAAAGAAACUUAUCUAUCUAUCUAUCUAUCUAUCUAUCUAUCUAUCUAUCUGCCUACCUGCCUGUCUUUCUAUCUAUCUAUCUAUCUAUCUGCCUACCUGCCUGUCUUUCUAUCUAUCUAUCUAUCUAUCUAUCUAUCUAUCUAUCUAUCUAUCUAUCUAUCUAUCUAUCUAUCUAUCUAUCUAUUUGACUAUCUAUCAAUCUAUGUAUGUUGACAAAGAAGAGGGGGAAUUUGAAGAAGAUUUGACCACUCGCAGCUCUGGAGCUGAAACUAGUAUUGAAAAGAAAUACACACAUAUAUAAGUAUAUACACAUCAUGUGUGUGUGUGUGUGUGUGUGUGUGUGUGUGUAGCAACUACAGUCGCGAUUUUUUCAUCGCCUUUUCCUCCGUCAGAAUGGAAGACCCUCCUAAUACACUUUUGAGUGAACACUUUCCUAAGACGACUAAUCUGUACAAUGAUUACCAUAUGGUCGUAUAACCUGUUAUAAUAUGUUAAAUCGUUAGAGCAUAACUUGUUGGUGCCAGUGAACCGCUAAAGCUCACUGAAUUUGCAUGUCUUCUUAUAGAUUUGUUGUCAGUAAUCUAUAUUAAAUCCCACCAGGCUAUUACUUUUUUAUUCUGCUGUUUAUUCCCAACUCUUCUAGAAAGCUUUUACAUCGCAUACUUGUAAAGAUAUCAACCUCUUAAAACACGACCAGAUAGAGAACAUAGCCUGACAGAAUCGAUAGCGUGUUUGAAUGUAAAAUGAAUUUCAUUGUGCCAUGUGUGGUACUGCGAUACGUCUACUGUCUCCCCAACAUGUAAUUCGUAAGAGAUAUGUUCAGCUACUUCUAAAUACGUAUCAGGCGAAAAUGCAUUUUUCUGUUACGUAAAGAUAUAACAUUAUUAUUAACGUAGAUAGGUUUCGGCCAGAGCACCACCUGGUGAAGUCUUUUAGAUCGUGAUUCACACCUCAGUCAUAUACGGGACACCAGAGCGCACUCUAGCAAAGAGUUAUUAUUGUUGGAGACAUAUCUAGGUGUAAGAGGUUGGUCCGGGAGUUUUGGGAAAAAUUUUCACACAAGGCCAGUAAUUUCGGGUUUGAUGAUGAGUCGAUUACAUUAACCCUAGUGAUCAACCAGUGUUGAUUUUAUCUAAUCUCGAAAGUCGACCUCGGCGGAAUUUGAACUCAGAAUAUAAAGAUAGAAGAACCAGUUCUACUAUGUGGCUCAGAAACCUGGACGUUACCAAAAAAGUUUGAGAGGCGGUUGGAUGGAACUUACACUCACCUCCUCAUGAGAGCUCAAAAUCUCUCGUGGAAGCGUCAUCCAACCAAAGUACAAAUAUAUGGGAAACUACCUCCUGUAUCAUCUCUUGUGAAAGGUAGAAGAGUCCAGUUUGCUGGACAUUGUUGUCGAGCUGAAAACGAGGUAAUUUCUACUCUUCUCUGGAAGCCAUCUACUCGUGAUACCAGAGAGCGCACACUCUCCUACCCUGAUGUAAUCUCCAGGGAUACAGGCAUCCAGCAACAGGACCUCCGUAAUGCUAUGAUGGGUAUGAAGUCUGGUGGAACAUAGUAAAUUCCAUUGUCUCGACCAUGAUGAUGAUGAUAUGAUAAAGAUAGAAAAAUGUUACUAAGUAUUUUGUCGGGCAUGUUUAAGAUUCUGGCGGAAAAUGAUGGACAAUAUUAGUUUCAAAUUCUGGGAAACGUGCUGCUAUUUUGGAGGAUGGGUGAGUCGAUUAAAUUAAUUAUGAACUAGCACUUAUUUCCCCUGACUCCAAAAUGAUGAAAAGCAAAGUCGACCUCGACCGAAUUUGUGCUGAGGACGUAAAGAAGAUAGAAAUGCCGCAAAGCAUUUUGGCUGGCGUGCUAACGAUUUUCUUGCUCACCCAAUACAAGGGCAGCGGUUUUAGUUGGAGUGGGUUAGUCAAGUAUAUCAACGCGAGUGCUGAACUGGUACUUGUUUUAUUGACCCUGAAAGGAUGAAAAUCAAAAUCGAUCGUGGCAACGGUUGAAUUCAGCAUGUAAAGCUAGAAGAAAUGCUGCCAAGCAAAUGAAUAUGCCAGACUCUUCGACUUAAAAUUGAUGAAUAAUAUUCCUUUUUCCUCUAGGCAUAGGGCUCGAAAUUUUGGAGGAGGGGGCAGUCGAUUAAAUCGACCCCAAUACACAACUGGUACUAAUUCAUCGUCCCCGAAAUGAUGAAAGGCAGAGUCGACCUCGGCGGAAUUUGAAAUCAGAACGUAAAGAUGGACGAAAUACCUAUUUCUUUACUGCCCAAAAGGGGCUAAACACAGAGGUGGGGGGAGGCAAACAAGGACAGACAAACGGAUUAAGUCGAUUAUAUCGACCCCAGUGCGUAACUGGUACUUAUUUAAUCGACCCCGAAAGGAUAAAAUGCAAAAUCGACCUCGGCGGAAUUUGAACUCAGAACGUAGCGGCAGACGAAAUACCUAUUUCUUUACUACCCACAAGAGGCUACACACAGAGGGGACAAUCAAGGAGAGAUAAACGGAUUAAGUCGAUUAUAUCGACCCCAGUGCGUAACUAGUACUUAUUUAAUCGACCCCGAAAGGAUGAAAAGCAAUGUCGACCUCGGCGGAAUUUGAACUCAGCACGUAACGGCAUACGAAAUACCGCUAAGCAUUUCGCCCGGCGUACUAACGUUUCUGCCAACUCGCCGCCUUAAAGAGAUGAAUAGUAUCGAUUUCUAAUUUUGACACAAGUCCAGUAAUUUGUGAGGCGGAGUACGUUGAUCAUAUCAACUUCAGCCUUUACCGACCCGAAAGUACAAAAGGCAUAGUUCGAACCAUUCGGAAUUUGAGCUCAGAACGUAUAGACAGAUGAAAUGCCAGCUCACUGCCUAAAGGAAUAACAUUAAUAUUGAAUGUUAUGGCGUAGUGGUUAAGAGCGCGGGCUAUUCACCUCAACAUUCCGAGUUCGACUCCUAGCAGUAACCUGAACACCACCACCACCACCAACAACAACAACAACAACGACAAUAAUAACAUCGAAAAAUACCUUAGGAAUGAGAACCCAGGUUCGAAAUUUCCCCAAGACACCUGAAGAAGGCUGGAAGGUAUAUCAGCCGAAAUGUUGUGUUAACGACAAACAAGAUGAGGACAAAUAUCCGUCUAAUAUAAAUAAUGUAAAUAAUUAAUAUUGAAACGUUGUAUUUUAGCUUACACAACCCACCACGAGAAUUAACGAAGGAGCUUCUAUUUCAUCGCUCGACCUACUAGAAAUAGCAGCCAAAUCAAAAGGCAGCACUUUGCUGUUUAAAAAAAGAAAAGCUAUAAAAUAGAUGAUACUUUAAAUGUUCCAGCCUUGGAUAUAUUAAGUUUGAGAAAAGAUACAAUGGUCAAGACUGGAAUAUUCUUGAACGUUGGUCUGUUUGAUCAAUGUUGAUAAAAUAAUUACUAAUCAAUACCAGUGUCCAAAAUAGUAUCAACAUAACUAUAAUUAAUCUACCAAAGCAAGAUUUAACUUGGUUUGGGCAUAAAUAUGUUAAAGCAAGUCUUGAAAUGAUGCAGUGAAGCCUUGAAUAGUUAUAGACAUACUCAUAAAAUAUAUAUAGACUUCAUACUUUGCAUCAGAGACUCACUGUUUGAUAUUUUAUUAGAAUGUGAGUAAAGUAUUAUGAAUGAGGUGUUCAUUCAUUCAAUCGAGAUCAGUGUUUAUUAACUUACAGAAAAUACAAAUUCCUUAAAUUUAAGAAGAGUAAUGUGCAAUCUUAGGAAAGAAGUGCUGCGCAUGCGUUGGUUUAAAAAUCUGUGUGGAAUAGUAAAAGUAGUCUCUAGCGUAACUAAUACUAACUAAAAGCUAUAUUGGUGUAAAAAUAGUGGUUUCCAAUUUUUGGCAGAAGGCCAGCAAUUUCAUGGGAGAGAGUAAGUUGAGUACAUUAACCCCACUACUCAACUGAUACUUAUUUUAUCGACCCUGAAGGGAUUAAAGCAAAGUCAUUCCCGACGGAAUUUGAAUUCAGAAUGUAUCGAUGGACGAAAUACCGCUAAACUUUCUGCUUAGCGUGCUGACGAUCUUACCAGCUCUCCGUCUCAGUUCGUGUAAAAAUAUUGGUUUCGUUUUUGAUACGUUCAAUGUUUGCAUACUUUUCUAGAUUUAAAACAGAAUAUCUAUUUCAUUGUAAAAUCCCUCAACAUUGUACAAAAGGUUUAACGUACCACUGGUCUAGUAGUUUUCCACUCUGUUGCAAGCAUUCUGACCAAGUCUCCGGCCUGAAGAUAACUUUCUUCACCUAAUCACAAAAUCUUGAAAGGGUUAUUAAAGCUGCCCUCGAUUCUCUGACUAAGCCAUUAAAUUAUAAAUGUAAUGUAAAAUGACUUUGAAUCGGCGAUUAAAAAAAAAAUGUCAAGGUUUCUCCUUCCCGCCAUCUCACCAUUUGUUGUAUGGCGCCCAACACAAUGUUUGUGGUAAUAGUGAAUUCAUUAAACAUCAAAUAACAUUCAGAGCAACAGUAAGACGCACAAGCUUACCAUCGCUUUUGCAAUCAAUAAAUCAAUAUUUUAUUUAUCACACGCGAGUACGAUGAAUAGAACGAAUCAGAUGAAGCUUUGUAAUCAAUGGUAAUCAAUAGAUAUAUUCAGAGAUGCUGUAUUCUAAACUGGACUUAUUGACUUCAAGGAAGACAGGCAGUUAGAAUUGUGACGUUCAUGCCUUCAUCACGGGCAUUGGUGAUGUAUUGGAAGCGUAAUCACUCGCUGAAGUAAAGUGAAAUUGAAGCAGUUUCCGUUUGUGCUGGGGUUAUUUUUCUGUAAUUCUAAACUGUUCGUACCAUUUAAAUUACAGAAUCAAAUGCGGAGGUGUCUUUUAAUUGAGUAGCUAGACACUGAAACCUAGUAUUAGUAAUAUGUUUUAUGUAGUUGUAUUUCCACAAUAAAGAAUACCUGUGUCAUUAUGUGUCAUAUCAACACUGAAGAAAGAAAAAAAAAAAACCAGAAUGACAGGUGGGAACUAAAAAAAAAUAAUACAACGUCUAUAAUGUGGCAAAAUCAAAUCCCAAAACUUUUAUAUCUGUGAUCUAAAAUUACUAAUGUAAUUAUCGAUUUGCGACAUAUGUAGAUCCCAUAAAUUUUUGUUGAUAAGGAGAGGAGAUAUUAUCGAAUCAAUUGAUCUAAGUCUUUAAAUGGAAAUUAAAUUAUUGAACACGGAAGGACGAAAUGAAGUCACUGUGGGAUUUAAAAGCGUAACAUCCACUUCUUUGUGAUAACACUAACAUUGAUGAAAUAAUGAUUUCAAAUUUUGGCACAAGGCCAUCAACUUUGGAGGAGGGGUCUAGUCGAUUGCAUCAACCUCAGGGCUCAGCUGGUACUUAUUUUAUCAACCCCGAAAAGAUCAAAGGCAAAGUCGACCGCGUCAGAAUUUAAACUCAGAACGUUAAAACGGAUGAAAUGCCGCAAAGUAUUUUUCCCGGCACGGCAACGAUUCUGCCAGCUCUCUGCCAAUGCAUUGAUGUAAAAAUAAUAACAGUAAUAUUAAUACCAAUCGAAACAUUUCUCACGCUUCCUCGCGUAAAACAGGCGAUUUGAUACCAGAAUAUGCCUUUAAAAACUGCCAUAAACUAUAUAAUUGUGCCAGAACGAAAGCGCAUUAUUAUUUGCUUUUUAUUUUUACAGAAGAUAUUUCAAGGACAAGAAAAUAAAUUACAAAGAAAAAUAGAUGUUAGUGACUCUGCGGAUUUUGCCCGUCACGAUUAAAUCAGUAGUCAAUAAAAUAUCAGGCUUUGAGAGCAAUCAACUGAAACGCACUGGCACGUCUGCACUUAAACCCACACACACACACACUCAUGCACGUACACAUGUAUAUAUUAUGCUUCCCUUAGCCAUAGCUGUAAUAAUAACCAGUCGUAAAAAUUCAAUUUAUUUAAUUGUCACGUAAACCAACAGUUUAGUACAAAGCUUGAUAUUUAUUAACAUAUGAAUGUCAAAAUUUGUUUCUGGCCAUAAGUAAUUUUACAUCUAGAGCCGAGUGCCACAACUUAUGCCUUCUUUAAAGACAUUUCACUGAAAUAUUCUUUACACACACACAUACAAAAACAUACGAGGGUGUGCUGAAAAGGUCUUGGCAUUGGGUUGAUAAAUAGAAGCAGAUCACUUAAUUAUGAUUUUAUUCAACAUAUUCCCCUGUCAGAUUCACUCACUCACUGCGGUGGUCUUUCAGUUUUUCUAAGCCCUGUAAAAAAACUCGGAAGGUUUAGCCACCUAUCUUGCCUAACGCAACACCCUUGAAAGCCAGGAGCUUCUCAACCCCACCCCGUAUAUGUAUCAUAUAUAAAUAUACAUACAUACACACAUAAAUACAUACACCAGAAAUAUCGAAGGUCCUUCCCGAAACAUAAGAUCACAAGACAAGUUUCUCGGAUUCUGUAGCUUAUAUUUUACUCCUUUUUCCUGGACAGAACGACGGUUCGUCGUAGGGUUACUCAUGUUUGCCAACUGAAUAGACUGGAGAAAAAUGAAAUGAAUUGUCUUGCCCAAAGAACACACCGCAUCGCCCGGUUCAGGAAUCGAUACCACUAUCUAACGAUCAUGAGUGCAACGUCCUAACCAUUCACACACGCGCCUCACUCUCCACACACAUAUACAUACAAACACUCGCGUGUAUAUACGAUUGUUGUAUAAAUGCUAUUUUCAGUGAGAGAAAGAGCGAAAAAGAGAGGGAGAGAGAGGGCAAGAGAGAGAGAGAGAGAGAGAGACAGAGAAAGAGAGACAGACAGACAGAGAGUAAACGUCAGCUUCCAGAAUUUCUCAUAUCUAUUAACUGAACAAUAUGUACUUCCUUACGUAUGUUCUACACAUUAUCUUGCAAUAAAUAACCGCAUAACUGACAAUCCAUUAUAUUAUUGCAAACUCUAACUGGCUAAGAUAUAUUUCUCUCACAUCACAUCCUUCAUAUAUCUUUUUUCAAUAUUAACAUACCAAUAUUUGGCCUUGUACCAAAAUCUGAAAUCAAUAUUAACUUACCAAAGAGCGGUACGCUGGCAGAAUGGUUAGCACACAUUUCUUUACGUUCUGAGUUCAAAUUCUGCUGAGGUCGAUUUUGACUUUCAUCGUUUUGGGGGUCGAUGAAAUAAGUACCAGUUGAGCAAUGAUAUCGAUGUAAUCGAUUAAUCCGCCUCCUCCGAAAUAUCUGGCCUUGUACUAAGAUUUGAAACCAAUAUAUAUGAUAUAUGGCAACGAACUUGCAGUAUCGUUAGCCCGCCGGACAGAAUGCUUAGCGACAUUUCGUCCAUCUAUACGUUCUGGGUUCAAAUCCUACCGGGGUUGACUUUGCCUUUCUUAUUUCGCUGAUACUUAUUUUAUCGGGGUCAAUAAAAUAAGUACCAGCUGAGCACUGGGGUCAAUGUAAUCUAUUAUCUACAUUUUCGGAUUUGUUGAGCUUGUGCCAAAUGUGAAGCCCUUAUCAUUCAUCAGUUUUGAAACGGUGAGCUGGCAGAAUAGAUAAAUGAGCUGGCACGUUGAACAAAAUGCUUCGUGGCGCAUCGUCCGUUUUCAUGUUCUGAGUUCAAAUUUCGCCCAGUCCGACUGUGUUUCUCUUUCUUUCCGAUUCGAUAAAAUAAAAAUACUAGUUGAGCACUGGGGUCGAUAUAAUCGACUCCUCUCUCCUCCCCCAAAUUUUCUGGCCUGUGCCUAUGAUAGAAAGAAAUAUUAAAUUACAAAAUUAAUACAUGGACCUAUUAAACAAGAAUAUUUACUUGUUCGUACGCGUAUCUGUUUACAACCUCAACACACAUUAACACUUGUUCAUCUCUAUUUUUGAAACUUUGCUUUUUUACAAUAGCAAAUAUUAAAUUUCAUUAUUGAUUAAUGUUAUUCAUAUUCAGUUCCUAAUUACUCAGUAUUUUAUUUACUGGCUUUUUUAUAUAAAAAAAGCGAUUAUUUUUAGCCAUCUUAUACUUCUAAUUACUUCUAAUUACCUAUGCGUUAUUUUCGAAUCAACUUGCAUAAUAUACCAAGCCAUCCGAACAAAUAUAGUCUAAUAUGUUCAAUACAUAUGAUUAUCAUAAUUGUCACCUUGCUGAAUUUCAUCCGUCGUCACGUUCUGAGUUCAAAUUCCGCUGGGAUCGGCUUUGCCUUUCAUCUUUUCGGAAUCGAUAAAAUAAGUACCAGUUGAAGAUCGGGGACGAUGUAAUCGACAUACCGCCUCUCCCGAACGUGCUGGCCUUGUGCCAAACUUUGAAACCGUUUUUAAAAGCUGACAGAAUCGCUAGCACUCCGGGCAAAAUGCUUAGCGGUAUUUCAUCUGCAGUUACGUUCUGAGUUCAAAUUCCGGCGAGGUCGACUUUGCCCUUUAUCCUUUCAGGGUCGAUGAAAUAAGUACCAGUUACGCACUGGGGUCGAUAUAAUCGACUUAAUCCGUUUGUCUCUCCUUGUUUGUCCUCUCUGUUUAGCCCCUUGUGGGUAGUAAUGAAAUAAGCAUUUCUUCCGGCUUUGCGUUCUGAGUUCAAAUUCCACUGAGGACGACAUUGCUUUCCCUCCCUUCAGGGUCAACAAAAUAAAUACCAGUCAAGUGCUGGGCUCAACGUAAUUGAUUGGUCACCUCCUCCCAAAAUACCAGGCUUUGUGCCCAAAGUACAACGGCCUUUUUUUAAGGAGGUGAUGUUAGCGGCAGUUCUUUCGGUUCUUCGUGCCAUGAUUUAAAGACGGAGUGCAAACAGUUUCGUUAGCACACCGGAAUAACUGCCUAGCAGCAUUUCGGUCAUCGUUACCUUCUAAGUUCAAACUCGACUGAAAUUGACCUUGCCUUCCAUCCUCUCGUGAUCGAUGAAAUAAGUACCAGUAGACCACUAAGGUCGAUGCAAUCGACGUACACACUCCCUCAAAAUUUCAGGCCUUGAGACUAUAAUCGAAAAGAUUACGUACAUCACAACGUGGAAAUUUUUACACAAUACUAAUAGCGUAUAAGUGUUUCCUAAAUUUAUAUAAUCACUCCCAUAUCUUUGAUUAUAUUGCACUAACCACUACCACGCCCCAUUCUCCAUUCUUCGUUUUUAUUGCCUCACAUGAAAGUCUGUGCAUAGAAAUCUAUUCACGCUUUCAAUUAAUGGGUGCUUCAACUCCAUCCGGAUGCAAAACUGAUUGUACUUUUAUCACAAUUAAUUCUUUAUUAAAAAUUGUUUAUUGUUCACUUUUCAAUACAUUAUUUUGUUUGCUUUUCUUAGCUUGCGGCUCCUAAUGAUGAAAUUCUCUCUCUUUCUCUCGCUCACUUCAAUUUAUAUGCAUGUGUAUACACUUAUACGUAUAUGGAUAUAAAUAUAUAUAUACACAUAUAUAUGCAUAUAAACACGCUUACACACACACAUAUAUAUAUGCAUGGAUGCAUAUGUAUGUAUAUAAAUACAUAUACAUAAUUUAAUUCAAAUCCUGAAGGAGAAGACUCUAUUUAUUGUACAAUUCCAUUUAUAUAUUCAUGUAAAUAUUUUCAAGUUAAUUUUUCUUUUAAGUGAAUAUUUAAAAUAUAUAAAUAAAAACAAAAAUAAAUAUACAAGACAAAAACAACCAGGUAAGGAAUAAAUAAAUGCUCUUACGUGGGAAAUUUUGACUGGGAACUGUUGCUGUGGACACCUACAGUUGUUUUGGGAGUUAGAAAGGAAGAGUGAGUGAGAGAGAGAGAGAGAGAGAGAGAAAGAGAGAGUGUUUCCUAAGAUAUCUAACCCUUCUAAUAUCGAUUGCUCUUACUGCCAACUCAUAAUAAUUGCUUUCUGCUACAUACAAGGGCCAGAAAUUUAUGUGGAGUGAGAGGAAUUGCGGGCUGUAUCGUCAGCAAGACUGGACGAGUAUUUUCAUUUCUGAACCUCUGUAUGAUGGGAGAUGAAGAUAAUUUAAGCUAAAUUUUAGCCUAGGACGUACAGUACCGAAAUAAAUAUGUAAGACAUUUUUGUUCAAUGCUUUAACGACUCUGACAAUUCACCGAUUGAAUUAUGUUGCGAAGUGGCCGAAUAUUCCACAGAUACAUGUAACACGAACUAUGUGACAGGUCUGGACUUCCAAAUGAGAGAUAAAGUUCCAGUUAGGUGGCUUCUAAACAGUAGCCGUGUAACAAGCUUCACUCACGAAACACGAAAGAAGCCUGUUAUAAUUUAUAUAUAUAUAUAUAUAUAUAUAUAUAUAUAUAUAUAUAUAUAUGUGUGUGUGUGUGUGUGUGUGUGUGUGUGUGUGUGUGUAUGUGUAUCUUUGUGUCUGUGUUUGUCCUCCUACUAUCACUUCAAAGCGAUGUUGGAGAGUUUGAGUACCCAUAACUUAACGGUUCGACAAAAAAGACCGGUAGCAUUAAUACUAGGCUUACAAAGAAUAAGUCCUGGGGGGCGAUUUCUUCGAAUAAAACCCUUUAAGGCGGUGCUCCAAUAUGGCUGCAUUCAAAUGACUGAAACAAGUAAAAGAAUAUAUAUAUAUAUAUAUAUAUAUAUAUAUAUAUAUAUAUAUAUAUAUAUAUAUAUAUAUAUAUUUAGCCUUUAUUUAAAAGUUGGACCAAUGAAAAUUUUUCCCCAAAUGCUGUUAAAAAUACAAAAUAUUUCGCACAUACAAUUACAUAAGCUUUCAAAUGAUCUGUUUUUCUAUAUGAAUGUAUAUAUAUUAUCUUCAACAGUGUAUAACAUUCUGUGAUGUUUAUGAAAAUACUCUAGCUUUGUAGGAGUGCGUCUACUUUUGAAAUUAAAAAAAACCCCGGAGGAUAUUCUUAUAUUUAUUUUUCACACUUCACCUUUAAAAUAUUUGUUAAAAUUAGACGUGUUAGAAACAUUUACGACUUACUUUAAACACAAGUUUUUACAGUGUAUAUGAGCAGAGAUUAUUGUGAUACUACGAAGGAUACUCUUAUUCUAUAAAUGCGCUUUAAUGCCUUGUAUUUCUACAUGAUAUUCUAUGCUGCUGACAAAAACAAGUGAUAGCAUGGAUGUGAAAUUCCAUGUGAAACUUUAGAUAAUUUUAAGUGCAGCUGAUUUACAGAUGGGAUUAAAAAUGAACAAAAUUUUAAAACUCUAUAGCAUUUUUUAGCAUGACUAUUGUGGAGGCACAUGGCCUAGUGGUUAGAGCAGCGGACCUCGCGAUCGGUAUAUCGCAGCUUGAAUCUCAGACCGGUCGAUGUGUGUAUUUAAGAGCGAAGCACCCAAACUCCACGCGGCUCCGGCAGAAGGUAAUGGCAAACUUCUGCUGACUCUUUCGCCACAACAUUCACUCACACUUUUCUCCUGCAUCUAGCAGCUCAUCUGCGACAGACCGGCGUCUCGUCCAGCUGGGGAGCCUAUACGCCAAUGAAACCGGGAAACCGGCCCUUAUGAGCCAGGCAUGGCUCGAGAAGGAACAAAUAACAAUAUGACUAUUACGUGACGAUAUAUAUUGAAUAAUUCUCCCACUAUAAAAGAUUUUCUUCCUUGGAUGCAAUUACAAGCAUUACAGUUUCACUUGGAGGUAAUAUAAAUAUAGGAUGAAUGAAAAAUAUUUGUAAAAUUCCUCGAUAAUUGGGGAGAGCAUUCAAAUGCUUUGGUCUCUUAUCGGUUUUAACAAAAUUAAAAACUGAUAUCCUUGAACGAAAUAUGAAAAAAAUAAAACAUGCGAUGGAAGCUAAUUAAGGCAAGAGUAAGUCUGACUCAUGGAGGCGCAUAGCAUAAUAUUAAGGGUGUUACACUCGCGCUCGCGAGGUCGCAGUUUCAUUUCCUGAACCGGCUAGUACGUUGUGUUCUUGAGCAAAAUAUUUCAUCUCGUGUUGCUCUCUAAUCCCCUCGACAACCGACGGGUGGUACCAUGUGAAUCUGUUCAAGCAACGUGAGUGAGCGACAAACAUUUGAUCACUAUAAACAAGUCAUAUCUACGGGUUUUUCAAUAAGAAAUUUCAGAACUGUGUUUCUCGGAUUACGAGAAACCACACGCACACAGACACACACACACACACACACACACACACACACACACACACACACACAUAUAUAUAUAUAUAUAUAUAUAUAUAUAUAUAUAUAUAUAUAUAUAUUUGAACCAGUGUUAAAAGUUUGAAUGUCACUUAAUUCUUAAAUCUCUAGUUCGAAAAAUUGGAAAUUUAAAAUUCUCAGAUAACAAGCAAUUGGUUUAAACCAUGAUUCAUAUCUUUCAUCGACUUGGAUGCAAGUUUCAGUGUGAAGUUUCGCUUUCUACAUUCUCAUCUUGACUAUUUUACAGAGAAGUGUGUCAAGUGCAGCGAAGAAGGUGAACAAUCUCACUGAAACAUUAUAUUGAAGAGAAAUAUCAAGGCCUGUGGAAGCAUAGUAUAAAUGAUAAUUACAUUUUAUAUUGAAAAUUACUUAAAGCCUCUGUAAAAGAUUGCAGUAAAAUAAAGUCAGACAAAUAUCUGUAAAGAAUUAAACAUUAUUUUUCUUCUUUCAAUUGUAACUAUAUUUUUGUGAUUAACACUUUUUUUUUUUUAAUGUGUGAUGUUUUAGAAAAGAAAGCACUCUGACAAAUUUAUUUCAACUAAUGUGGAAAAUUGCAAACUCGAUAAAAUAUUAAAAAAUUUUAAAUAUAAUACAAGCAUAAUUCAAUGUAGUAAAAUUCAAAUCUUUAUGCAACAGUAAGAAUUAUAUAGCAUUAUUACCUCCCCUGAAUAUUAUUAUUUCCUCCCUGCAAAGAAAAACAUUCAAAAAUUUAAUUUUGAAGCACACAAAAAAUAUUUUUUUAAUUUAAAGUUUUAUUACGUUUCGGAUGUCUAGCAAACGUUAAUAUGUUUAACAAUAUUGGUUAAUUCAUAAAGAUAAUUUCACGUUUUAUUUUCUAUUCACGAUUAAAUAUAAGGUUUCACAUUCGAAACAAAAAUAGUGUUAUAAUAUUUAAAGGAUCUACUGUAUAUUACUGUUACUAGCGUAUGUUAAAGGAAUACGGUUAAGCUUUUCAAUUAUACGCAUUAGAGUUAGUUAAGUUAGAAAUUAUAAACACGAAUGUAAUAUUAAAAGAAUUGCUCGAAAAAUCUAGAGGAUGUGGGCUGCUUUGUUCAUAAUUUUCUAUUCUCGAUUCAUGUGUUUAAAAUGUCUAAUCUAAGUUAAUUAAAAAUAAUUUAGAUUUUAAAGUAAUUCUUUUAGAAGCAUAAAAGUAUGCUUUUUUAGUAAAACGGGAGCUAAAUAUAUAUGGCUUUAAUUCAUGUAGUAAGAGCAUAAAUUUUUAAUGAAUCAAAUUUCACUUCUGCUCAGGAAAGAACAAUCAAUGCUUUAAUGAUUUAUUCUGGCUAAGAAAAGCAAAGGGAGAACAUCCCAUAAUUGGAACCAAUUAAGAUUUUAUUUAUAUAGAAUUGCGGAAGUAAAUUCGAUCUUUGGGAGCAUGGUAAAUGUUUCAGUGCCAUGAGACCUCAUCAGAAUCAGUUAGUCACACUGUAUUACAUUUCAAUAUUUGAGAAAACAAACAUUGAGUGCCGUGAUAACAUAAAACACUGCAUGGUGAGGGAGGAACACCAAGGGAUGCCACCUGCAUGGAAAACUAAUAGUAACGUAGGCGCUAAUAUAUUUAGCGUAGAGAGCCAAAAUAUUUUAAUUACUUGAAAUUACGCCAAUGUGCAUAAUUCGAACUAACUAAAAGUUAUAAACACAUUGCAUCAUGUGAUAAUGCACCCACUUAUUGUUAGUCUGUCGUGGACUUUGUAUCUUAGGAUACGUUUUCCACCGCCACUCUUUAUACUUAUUGAGAUGUUUCUUACUACUAAAACAGCAUUGUGUAUUUUGUCGAUACAAAACCUAGAGCUGUAUGUAACUAACAUAAAUUUAACUAGAUAUUCCAGUUAAUCGCUUCUUCACCAAAACGGAACUCAUUCUGCUAGGCUACUGAGAUUUCUGAUCUUUUGGUGUGCUCUUAUUCCCACAGUCAGUUCUAAUUAAUCCUAAAUCACUCUAAUCCAAAUUCAAAGUACUGAACUCGUGUCGACUUAUCGACAUGCUAACAAAUCCUAUAACAAGAAAUUUACCAGGAACUUUUCAAUAUAAGAUAAUACUUACACUUGUCACGAAUUUCGAUAUUAGUUCCAUUCUUUUUCAUUUUAUUAUCUCAACCAUAACUUUAGUCUUUCUCCAUAAACAAUGAACCGUCAUAGAUUGUGUAUGAACUUAAUAUACACUGGCAUCACACACAAUAAUAUAUUAUGUUAUCAGACUACACACUUUAACUACAAGCAUGAACACAGAGAAAAUAUAUAAACAAACUACUUACCCAUACACAUACGCAGGUUCAUACAUACUCAUCUACUGUAUAAUAAUAAACAACAACACAACAACAACAACAACAACAACAACCACAACAACAACAUAUAUAUGCAAGCUAUCAAAAAAUAAGUCACAUGAAAUGUCCAAAACCCAAAACAAUUAAAACGUUUCAAAAAUAGCUUUUGGCGCAGAGCAAAUGUUUGUACAUAGCUUAAUUAUAUUUGUUGUCAUGGGAACAAUGUGUAUGGAUCGAAAAGUGAAAAAUCACACAGGCAUACGCAAACAUACUUAAACACCUACUCAAUUAUACACGCAGUCAUAUACAUAUAGAUAUCACAAAUUUUGUUUGUCCCUUAAGUAAUUUGUUUUUGUUUGUUUUUUUAUGGUAUUUUGUGUGUUAUAUAACAUGAUGUACAUUUACUUGUGUGUGUUUUGUUUUUCUAAUAUUGUUAUAUUAUUUAUUGGAAAAUUUGAUUACUAGAUAGAUCAGGCAUCGUAAUUUGGCGGUGGUGAAGAGUUCCGUUCCAGAGAGGAUUAUUAUAGAAAAUUCAAUUUUCAGUCGUUCCACCAUUUCAAUCAGAUAAAGAAUAAAGUUUAGCGCUAUUGUCGAUUUGUAACUGACCAAGUCUAUUAUAGAAAUGCCAAACACAUUGGCAUUAUAUUUAACGAUCGCAGUUCCUGUCCAGCUGCGUUACGAGGAAUAGAUAUUGGUCGCAUCUCCAAAUUGUUCGUAAUGACUAAGAAUUAUUAUCCAUCAGUCAGUACAGCACAACUGGAGAUAAACUAUAAGCAGACUCUUUGGCGCGUCGAACAAAAAUGCUUAGCUGUAUUUCUUUAGGCUUUAUGUUCGGAGUUCAAAUCUCGCUAUAGUGGAUUUUGUCGUUCAUUCCUUCAUGACACGUAAAAUAAGAGUACCAGUCAAAUACCUUUCUACUUUAGGCACAAGGCCCGAAAUUUUGGGGGAGGGAGCCAGUCGAUUAGAUCGACCCCAGUAUGCAACUGGUACUUAAUAUAUUGAUCCCGAAAGGAUGAAAGGCAAAGUCGACCUCGGCGGAAUUUGAACUCAUAACGUAACGACAGACGAAAAACCGCUAAACAUUUCGCCCGGCAUGCUAACGCUUCUGCCAGCUCGCCGCCUUAUGUAUCUAUCAGAUACUGAAGUCGAUGUACUUGACUAACCACUUCCCCUAACAGAGCUGGCCUUGUGCAAAAUUUUGAAUCAAUGAUUAUUGUUGUUUUGAAGGCGUCGUGCUAGCAGAAUUGUAAAUGUUUGAGCAAAAUUACUUCGUGGCAUUUGUUCAAAUCUCAUUUGUCUGUUAUCUUGUCUGUGGCCAUGUUGGGGCACUGCCUUGAAGGACUUUAGUCAAAUGAAUCAACCCCAGUACCUUUUCCAUUAAAGCCUGGUACUUAUUCUAUCGGUUUCUUUCGCCGAACCGCUACCUUGCGGGGAUGUAAACACACCAGCACUGGUUGUCAAGCGGUGGUAAGGACAAAUGCAGACACAAAGACACACACAUGCGCACACACACGUACACACACAUACAUACACACACGAUGGGCUAUUUUCAUUUUCGAUCUCCUAAAAUCCAUCCACAAGGCUUUAGUCGGCUCAAGGCCGUAGUAGAAGACACUUGCUCAAGGUACCACGCAGUGAGACUGAACCCGGGACCAUGUGGUUGAGAAGCAAACUUCUUGCCAACAGCCUCAAUACUAUAUACCUUCCGAUUAAAUAAGUACCAGUUACACACUGGGGUCGAUAUAAUCGACUUAAUCCGUUUGUCUGUCCUUGUUUGUCCCCUCUGUGUGUAGCACCGUGUGGGCAGUAAAAAAAUUAGAAACGUUAGCACACCGCGCGAAAUGCUUAGCAGUAUUUCGUCUAUCCUUAUAUCCUGAGUUCAAAUUUUGCUGAGGUCGACUUUGCCUUUCAUCCUUUCGGAGUCCAUAAAUUAAGUACCAGUUGCGUACUCGGGUCGAUCUAAUCGACUUGCCCCUUACCCUAAAAUUUUGAGCCUUGUGCCAAGAGUAGAAAAUAAUAUUAUUCAACGAUAAGAAAACCAAAGAAUAAACAAGGCCGGCUGAGUUGAAUGUUACCGGAUUAGCUAUCAGCUGGGCAUAGGUACGCUUUGAGUUGAAACCCUGCAUGAUCCUAAAUUACUUUUCUUUCAUCUCCAGAUUCGAUAACAUUUAUUGUCGAAUACUGAGAUCGAUCAUAUCUUCUGUGGCUUGCCUUAAAAUUCGUAAACUUUUGAGGGUCAUAGGGAAGACAGAGUUGCAUGACCAAAGAUCUGCAUUCAUAUUUCAUUUCUCGGUUGAAAUAGCUUGAUUUCACUUGUUCCACCAGUGACCUGUACGUUGUACAUCAAUCAGUCUCUGUGAAUUGAGGAAUCAAUAGCUUUAUCAAAGGAAACCGCACAAUUGAUCUAAGCGAAUAAUGGAGACAAAUGGUGUAAAUGUGCCACAUCUAUAGCACUGAUAUUAGAAUUAUACUUACUGUUAAUGCAUUAAUACAUGCUGGAAAAACAUAAAAUUUCGUGAACCUACGAAACAACUUCUACACGGUCGCUCAAUCUCCUAGAAUUAACUGCCAAUCCCUCAUAUCACGCCCUAUCAUCUUAAAAUUAGAUUUCUGUUGAAAAUUUUGUUGGUUACAUAUUGUAAAGCAUACCAGUUUUCGUGCACAACUUGUCCCGAAAACGAAACUACAUCACAUAGAGAUCCUCAUGUGAUGCCGUUUCAUUUGCAACAAGCACUAUGACCCGGCCUGGCCGGGUCUACUGCUAGUGCUUGUUCUUCGUUGCCGGAUCGCAGUAAAAAUUUUCUCACUAAAUCAAGAGCUAAGUUUCUUAUCACAUUAUAGCCCGGGCCAGUUUUGUUGUUUAUGGGCUAGUUGGAGCUUUUUAUGAGAGUAAUUGAUAUUCCUUGGACUUCGGCAAUGCCCAUAUGCCCAUAACUUAUGGGAAUAAGGGAUCGGUUUAUCGAGUUUUUUUAAUGGCUUUCUGGGGUGAGUGGGGAAAUGAAAAGAUCUUCAUGACCUCCCUCAGACAGUUUUGAAAGCCCAUAGAAAAUGCGAGCCUUUUACGUGAAAAACUGUGGAUUUGUAUAAAGGACACACAGACACACAGAUACACAGUCAUUUUGCCGUUUAUAGAUAUAAAGAUUAUAAAAUUACCGGAAAAUGUUGGUUCAAGAAAGGGCUAGUCAAAACUGCGAUGCGUCUUACAAUUUCGUGCGCCUUAUAAAACAUGAACUACUGUAAAACACGACAGUGGUGGUCACAGUUGGAAUGUUUUUGUAUAUGCCUGCUCGCAUCUAUAGAAACGGAGAGGCGUUAAACAACAACAAAAGCGGAAAACAUUUUUUAACAGAUUUGGUUAGGCACUGCGUUGAAAACAGAUUUAGAGUUUAAAAAAUAAUCACAAUAUGGAGUAAAAGAAAAAAAAACCGGAAAAGACAAACUCAGUAAAGUGGAUCAGAGAAACAUUUCGAGUAUUCAGAAUACGGCUACCUUUGUAAUCCUGUCAGCGCUUCUGACAACACUAGAUUGUAGUUACAUUUAAGUUAUAGCUCCACUUAAGUACUUUUCCUUCAUCUUCCUAUUUUUAUCUCAUUCAGACAUUAAUCCUUAUAAGACGUCAGCGAACAGGACUCUAUAAAUAUUUGAAAUCAAUUCAUUUCAAGUCUCUUUUUAUAUUCUACAAAUACGAUAGGUUUUACUUAAGUAUAGAAGACAAUGUUUUUGGAAAACCUGGAUUAACUAAGAAUAUCCAUGCAAUGCGUUAUCAGAAACUCCGCCGAGCGGUACGUUCAAAUUCUAAAACGAGCAAGCAGUUAAUUGAAAUAUUUGGAAAAAAUGUAAGGGAUCUUUUCGGUUUGAACGGCAGUUUUUUCUAGCGGUGUCAUAUGAAAUUGUCACCCAUAAUUAUGACUCUAGUAUGGAUCUAUUGCAUUUCAAUCUGUUUUAGGGUUAGGGUUAAGGUUAGGGGUGGGGGGAAGGGUAUCUUUUUUCUUCACAAAUGUAAAUAAACCCAAUCUGUUUCUUAAACGAGGGACAUAUUCAUACGGCACAGAAUGUUUUUACCUCAAUAGACGUCAGUGAUUGGUUGAAAUUGCAGAAAUUGAAGAAAAACAACAACAAAUAGAAUUUUCUCAAUAAAGCCUUUUAUAAACACAUUCUACCAGUAUACGAAGUUUAACAUUUUUUUAGUUACAUAGAAAUUAUGUUAAAAACUGCCGUUCAAACCGAAAAGAUCCGUAACACGCAGUAUGUGAGUGGAUUUGUCCUUUAAACCCAUUGGAGAAACUAAGGAUCAUGUAUUGCUUUUAUUAGGUUUUUUUCCGUGAAGUAUAAGUCUCUCAUUUGUUGGUAAGUCGAAGGGUGAUCAAUAUAUUCAGAAAUAAAUCGUGAAUAUCGCUGAGUUGGCUGAGGAAAAAGAGUUCAAGAGAGCAUUCAGCAGUAAAUACAAAUAAAUACGUUACAGUAUUAAAUAUGUAAUAUAAAUAGGAGAUUUGAUUGCUAUGUGUAGUUCCUAUUCAAACGACUACAUAGAAGAAUUCACGUUGGUACAUGUAAUAAGCAUAUGCUGCAUACAAUAAAUAAAGGAAUAUUCUGUCAUAUAUAUAUAUAUAUAUAUCACACACGUUCACACACAAUCAUAUAUAUAUAUAUUCAACAUGUGAUCUCUUGAGCACCACCAGCAAAAAAAAAUUUUUUCCUCUGUCUUCCCUUCUCGGGAUCUUUCCUUCCCUUUGUUUCCGACGAAGAGCUCCGCUCGAAACGUUAAACCCUCCUUCCCUUCUUUCCUGAGCGUCAAAUAAUACUUUAAUUGUUCCACGUACUCGCGUUGCUGUGUUUUGUUUUUCUGUGUUUUCUUGUUUGGAUUAACUAUAUAUAUACGUAUAUAUAUAUAUAUAUAUAUAUAUAUAUAUAUAUAUAUAUAUAUAUAUAUAUAUAUAUCGACAAAAGAUAUAGACCUCAAUGUCGCUCAAGAUAGCAGACAAUAUUCAUUGAAUGAUACGGUUAUAUAGACUCAUAAACAGGAUAAUCGUUACACUUCUUCCGCUGUCGCAAUUCAAUUACAAACACGCAAAAAUUUUCGUCUUCGCAACUGACUUGUGGCAGCUGAAGUAGGGCAGCGAUCAUCGUAACCUUGACAUAGAAACUUGAAACAGCCCUAUGCAUGAGUCUUUAUAACUUUAUCAGUCGAUGUGUGUGUGUGUGUGUGUGUGUGUGUGUGGUCUCACCAUAAAAUUAGGUUCACGUAGGAUUUUCUGAAGCACAACAUGAGUACUGAACAGAGUAGUUAUAUUGUUCUUCUUCCACAUUUCCCUUCUCAAAAUACCAAUGGUAGUAAUAGAAAGGUCCUUAUUAAAGCUAAAAAUUAGUUUCUCUUCGACCUAUGUGUAUUAUUAAUAAACUUGGUUUUCCUGACUUCAUUAAUAACACUAGUCAUCAAAUUAGAACUUUUAUUUUCUUGCUAUAAAAUUUUAGAGCUCUUUUAGACUAGUUUUUGGGUGCUUCUUCCAAAAUUGACAUCAGAUUUGCUCUAUCACAUCACAUUUUUGUGUCAUCGAUAUAUACAUUUAUUUACCUGGAGCAUACCAAAAGUUAACUUUACACCACUAUAUACGGGAAUUUUGGCUGGAUUGUCUUGCUAAUUUUGAAUAUGUUCAAGCUGAGUUUUGCUUUAAAACCCUUCCUCUUCUUUUCAGGUGUGAACUGAAUCUGUGAUCUAGUUAUGGAUACAACAUGAAAGAGAACAUGCUGUAAUGACCCCGAUAUUUUCUGUUACAUUUGGGGAAAAUUCACUCCACAUGCUCAAAGGCGCGGAAACUUCAUUCCACAUGCUCAAAGGCACAACAUUAAUAAUUUUGUCAAGAAGGUGUAUCUUGCUUAGUAGCACUUGGAGACCAGAAGAAAACCUGCGUUGAAACUUGGUAUGAUGAAGCAAUUCAUCAGAGCUCUUGGUUACAGUGGAGACUGCUUCGCUACAGCUUUUCCAAAUCUCAGUCACGAGGAGAAGGCAGGAAUAUUUGAUGGGCAUCAAAUAAGAACAUUCCUCAGGGAUCCACAUUUUGUUACAACAAUGAGUGCGGCGGAGGCUAGAACUUAGAAUGUCUUCUUUGAUGUAGUGCGGAAUUUACUUGGAAACAGGAAAGCUGACAACUGUCAAGAAAUUGAGGAGGAGCUGUUCUUGAGUUUGCAAGCACUUGGAUCAAAAAUGAGCAUUAAAUCGCACUGCUUAUACAGUCACUUGGGGGACUUUCCAGAGAAGCUGGGUGACGUUAGCGAAGAACAAGGCGAACGCUUUCAUCAAGAUGUAAAAGUAAUGGAAGAACGCUACCAAAGCUGAUGUGACUCAAACAUGAUGGCAGAUUACUGCUGGAUGAGAGACAUUCCAGGAGCUGUGCAUAAGAGCUCGUCAAAAAAUAAAAAUGGAAAUUCUUACAGUAAUAUGAUCAGAAUGAAUGACUACAAUGAACAGAGAUAUGCUAAUGUGCAUUCCGUC